rnacentral:lncRNA from 1 species
CGUUCAAAGCAGCUUCUGGCCUCCCUCUCUUCUGAGCAGCUCCGAACUCCAUUGCAAUAACAAAACUAACACUUGAAAUCGAAAAAUUGAGUAAAUCAAGUAGAGUAAUUAAGAAAAAAGAAUGAAACAAAAGCCAAAAGCGGAGCAAAAACCCUAGGCAAAGAGAAACUAGAGUGGUUAGGGUUUGGAGGAAGUAAACGGACUGGAGAGGGAGAGUGCAACAGGAGGAGAGAGAAAGGGGUUGGGGAGAUAGAAAUAAGGGGAGGGACGAAAGAGAAUGUAUUUUUAUUUUAAGUUUUCACUUUAGUGUGCUCCGUGUUUUUCUUCAUAGACAACGUUUUUAAACAAAACGUUAUCUAGUUAAAAUAAAAAAAAAUAUCCUUUUAAAUAGAUAACGUUUUUGCUUAUAUACUACAAUAUUUUUUUUAAAAAUAUUAUAAAAAAAAUACCAUAAUGUUUUUAUAAAAAACGUUGUGGUUUAAGUGUUGUCUAUUUAGUACUUUGUACUGGUGUGUAAGACCCCAAAUUUUAUGAAUAAAUAUUUAAUUUUUUUAAUAUUUUUUUAAUAUUAAAAUGUGGAUUUGAUAUAAUGUUAUAGUUGUGGGUAAUAUUUAUAAAUUUUGCAAAGUAUGUAAGUUGUCAAAAAAUAUUCGUUUGGUCGGAGAAUAUUCAUUUUAUUAGGGAAUAUUUGUACGACGGCACAAUCAUUAGUGGACCCCAUAAUGGAAUUACUGUCAGAAUGAGAAAACGACAGAAAUAUGUUUUUAUAAAAAUAACGGCGAAAGUUUACCAUUAAACUGUUGAAAUACCCGGUGGUAAAAGUACAAUAAUACGCAUGGUUACAUAGUAGCACACGGUAUUGAUUAUUGAUGCUUACGUGAGAAGUCACUCAGUUAUACUCAAUUAUUGCUACAGUAAUUGUUGCAUAAUAUCUCUCAUAUUAUUGAUUCAAUUAUUGUCAUAGUAUCAUCUACAUAAUAUUUUAUAUUUUUAAAUUAAUAAUUGAGACAACGAAGUUAUUCAUAUUAUUAUUGCAUUAUUGACGAUGUCUAGAAAGUUCUGUCGAGAAAAGGGGUUUGGUCACCUAAUUGCGCGCUGAUAAGUAGUUUUUAUACCUACUUAUCCGGUAUCUUUUACUUGAAUUAGUUGUUUAAACUUAUGUUUCUUAGUUACUUUUCAUGCAUUUUGUGUUCAUUUUGUAGAUUAUACGCUUGGGAGCUGUGUGAGCGACUAUUGGUAUGAAAUCGCAAAGAAAAGCAAUUUGGACAUCGUUUGGGCUUUCAUGUUUAUUUCAUGUUCUUGGCUUUGAACUUAGAUUAUGUUGUAGAGCUUCUUCUUAGCUUUCCGAAAAAUCUUGAAUCAUUCCAAUCGAAGUUCGGAUGCAAGAGUUAUGAUCUUUGUACCAACGGACGUUGAACUUCACUGAUUUGGGUGGCCAUUUGCAUAGCAGUCACUGCCAGCCCACUUUCGACCUUCAUUCGUCCUUUAUUUCUCAAUUCUUAAAGAAUAAAAGUUGUAGAGAUCGUCGAUAUCUUCGAUUUGAUAGGUGGUAGGUGUCGUAACUCCUCCCAGAUCAAAAGUUAUGGUCGUUUUACCAGAAGACACUGCAGCAGAAAAAGGAACCCCGCCGGGGCGGGCUUUCUCUUCACAAAACCCCCACCAGGGUGGGGGUACAAGCUGCAAAAUAGAACCCUGGCCCGCCGGGGUGGGCCCUUUAAGCCUUAUACCCCUCGCCGAGGCGGGGGUACGCGCAGAAAAGUCAUUUUUUAUCCGAAUUUGAGUUCGAGAAGGAUUGGUUCGAUCCGAUUGACUCAAGGACUUCCAAGAGGACUUAAAGACAUAUAAAGAAACAUAUAAAAGGAGGAGAAUCACAAGGAUUAGGGGGAGAGAGAGAGAGAGAGGAUUUCAUUAGAUUUGAUUAGAGUAGAAUAGGAGAAAACACUAGUUCUUAUGAGAUUUGGAGAUUGAAGCACUUGAAAGCCAUUGUAGAUCCAGAUCAAGAGCGAGACGGAGGAUGAAUUUGUUGACAACAAAUUCACUUCUUUUUCUUAAUCUCAUUCUUAUCUUUUAAUGUGUAUUCAAGUGUGAAUUCUUAGUUUUAAUUUAAUGAACUAAUUCUUUGUUUGAGAUUACAAUGGAUCUUAUUGUGUAGUUUAUUUUAAUAUGAUUCGCUAUCAAUUAUUAUGUUCUAUUGUGAGGAUUGUUUAUUGUGAUUUGGACUUAAUUGUUUAAUUGAUUGGCCAUUAAUUACCAUGAUAAUCUAUAUGAACACGAGAGAUGAAGUUUAGAUUUAGAUCUGAUCAUAAUAACAUGUGUUUGUGAUUUCUGCAUAGAUGGAAUUCAUGAUUCGUGUUUAGGAUAGAGAUAUGCCUUUACACCAUAUGUAAUCUUAUAGAGAACUUGUGCUUUAAAUCCUUUUUAAUUAUAAUUCACAUAGAGAUAUAGUGGAUUAGUUAAUUAGGGUGUCUUGCUUAAUCAUAUCAAUUGUGGAUUUAAGUGAGUAUGAGUAUUAUGCAUCGAGAGGUGGUUUUGUCUACUUUAGUGUUCUUGAUUAACAAUUCAGGAUAGAGAAUAAUGGAUGAGAAGUGUGUUAACUUAAAUGAAGCAAUAAGUGAAGUUGUGAUCUUAAAUCUCCAUAAUCUAAUUUUUAAUUAGUGGUAAUCAGAAUUAAUGUAAUUAGAUAAUUUAAUUUAUAAUCCUAAAUUUUUUGUUUAAAUAAAAUUAGUUUGAUUAAUAGUUAGUAUUUGGUAAUUUGUAUUAAUAAUUCCUCGUGGGAACGAUACUCUACUUUCAUUUUAUUACUUGUUGACCACGUAUACUUGCGUGUUGUGCGUAAUUAGAUUUUACCCAACAAGUUUUUGGCGUCGUUGCCGGGGAAUUAGUUUAAUAUUUUUUUGCCAAUAUUAGCUUCAAUCAAAUUAGUCUUAAUUUAAAUAUUUUUUUCUUUUUAUUUAAUUCUCUUCCUAUAUUUCUCUAUUUUCAGGUACCAUGAAUGACUUUGCGUAUCAAUGGCCAUACACGAACAUGACUCAACCAAGGAAAAUAAGGAUUGAUGGACUUAUUACAUUUUCUAUAGAGUCAGUACAAAUUGAGGCAAAUUCGAAGACGUUGGAGGUUAUCGCAGUCCAAUGGAGUCGAAGGAUGGCAAACAUAACUCAACCAAGGGAAAUAGGGAUUGAUGGACUUAAUGCAUUUUUCGCAAUAUCAUCACAAAUUGAAGAACUUUCGAGGACAUUGGACUUUAUUGUAGCCCAAAGGAGUUGAAGGAUGACAGUUACGUGUGAUUAUUGUGCUGGCAACCACCAAAGUCAUCAAUGCACCGUCAGUUUUGAACCGGUACAAUAUAGUGGUGAUUACCUCAACAACUAUGUUGAUCCUAACUAUCACCAAGAUUGGGGGUAUCACCCGAAUUUUUCAUGGAGCUACAAUUAUGAUGACCAACAUUACGCUUUAAAUUAAUCAUACACACUAGAAUUUUCAUGUCCACCUCCAUUACCACAAGAAGAAAAGCCAAAUCCGAUGGAUGAAAUAUUGAAGGGCAUAGCAAACCUAGAGGAGAUGAGGAUUAGCCAAGAGCUGUAAACCCAAAAUUUUAAUAAUCGAAUGGAACAACUCGUCACUACCUCAACCAAUGGUCCUCAAUACAUGGCUUCCGAGACUGAAACAGAAAAUUCAAGGCUGGGGGAAUUAUUGUCCAAGUUCAUAGCAGAUGAGGAGAAGAUGAGUAAUCAAACGAGGUUAAUUCAAAAUCUUAUGGAUCAGAUAGAGAAAAUGACCAAAGCCGUAAGCAACCUUCCUCCAAACACUUGGCUUUAUGACAUAGAUGACGAAAAUGACAGAGAACCCGAACCAAAUCUGCGACUGGAUGAGCCACAAGAUAUCGAAAGUGUGGAAACAAUUGGGGAUAAUGAAAUAGAGGUCGACGAAGAUCUAAAUGAGUCUCCACCAAAGAUCAAAGAGUCAGUCAGAUUUGCAAAAUCAUGCCCACUUGGUAGUUAUGUCAUCGGCGAAGCUCUUGAUGACAUAAGAGUGAGUACAAUUUUGAAUCCAUGGUGGGAUGAGAAAGAGAAGAUAGACGAAGAGCCCAUUGUGUGUGACAAGCUUCCAUGCCCCAAAGUGAUCACAUACACAAUGUAGAAAACACCUAGUUGUGGGACGUUCUUGAUUGAGAUCAUACCAAAUCAGAGCAUGUUAAGUGACUUUGAUGCAUUAGCCAUCACAAAUGGGAACCUACCAAAAGUUACAUUAUUUUCGAUGGAUGGAGGGUUCCUCAAUCAUCAAAGAGGAAUUGAAUAGCGUUGACCAGAUAAAGUCAGGCUGAAAGACUGUAAUUCAAGCGCUAACUGGGAGGCAACCCAAGAAUUUUUAUAUUUAUAUGCUUUACUAGUUUAUUUAGUAGAUAGGAAUUAAUUUGCUUAUUAAAUUCUUUUACCAAUCUAAAGGGCUAUUCUAAUCCAGGUUGUCUCUCUUCAUUGCAGGUAUUGGAGGUUCUAUGCAUAGGCAAAAGAUUAUGGAAUAAGAAGUAACUGCACAUAAAUUGUGGAAAAAUUUGCAAAUAUGAGUGUCGAGUGCUUAUGCCACGACCACCGUCACCGUCAUCGCCAUCAUCACCACAAGCUUAAAUGAUUACAGGGAAAUCCUCAUUCACUUAAUGCUUUAUUUUAUAAUGAGGACAUUGUAAUUGUUAAGUUUAGGGGAGUUAAUUAGUUUAGUUUCGCAUGUUUAAUGUAGUUGCUUUAGUUUUGCAUAAGUUAUCAUGUUUAUUUAGUUUAGGUUUAUUAUAUGUUUGCAUUCAUGUAGUGUAAGUGCAUAAUAGUUUGCAUAGUAGAGUAGUUGUAAAUAGUUUUUAUUUAUGUCUAUAAAAAAAAUCAAAAAUAGAAGUUAGUUACUAUGUUCAUCUUCAUGUUUCCAGCUAUUAAGAUAGUUACAGGCUAUUUUGGCCAAUGAUGAGAUUGGAAUUGAGAAGAUAAGCAUAGUACUAACUAUUAGAGCUUUGAUGUGAUUUCUUGUUAUGAAUCGAAUCCUUUUCUGUUUGAAACUGGUAUAAUAAGGAUAGCACAAUAAGAACAACUAUGUGGAUUAAUUUAGUCUAAAUUGAUACAUAAUGGACUUCUUAAGGAUAAUACUAGUUUGGAUGAAUGAAAGACAUGAACAUGCAGAGAUGGCUAAAUUUAGACAAAAACUUAAGUUUGGGGGAAAAUUUUGGGAUAUAUAAGCUUCAUAAAGAAAAAAAAAGAAAAAACAAAAGAAAAAAAUAUCGUGGCUAGUUUUGUUUCGGGGCCUUUGUUACUUGAGCAAGUACACCCGAGGGGAUUGUCUUUACACCUAGCGCCCUAAGGUCUUUAUGGUCUGGGAGUCGUUGGUCGAAAGCUCGCUAAGAGGUAGCACUGUUAGCCUAAUGGAAUGAGACAUUGCAUAGUCAUGGUAAAAAAAAGACGGGAAAAGAGCAAAAAAGCCCCCGUAAUGAAAAGUAAAGCAUAAGUAUCCCGGAUUGGACUCUUGAACUUGGUGGAUGUUUGAAUUUUGUUGGAUUUAGCUUGUUCGUGAAUUUUGUGAGUUUUCACUGUAUAAUGCCUUUAAAGAGAUCUAUUAUGUGUUAUAUUUAGCAUUAUAUCAGUUAGUAUAGAUGUUGAGCACACAAGUACUAUACCAGGAAUAACAGUUUAAGACUUGAUGAUGGAUUAGGAAAUUGUUGAUUGGUUUUGAUAUGAAGUAUUGUCAUGUUUAUUUUAUUUCGCUGAGGUCGGUUGAAUUGACUUGUUUCUAUCAUUAUUGCUAGAAUUGGAGUCAUGUAGAUUAGUUGCAUUUUAUAGCAUGUAGAUUGCAUUAUAUUGUAUUGCUUGGGGACAAGCAACAGUUUAAGUUUGGGGGUAUUUGAUAAGUAGUUUUUAUACCUACUUAUCCGGUAUCUUUUACUUGAAUUAGUUGCUUAAACUCAUGUUUCUUAGUUACUUUUCAUGCAUUUUGUGUUCAUUUUAUAGAUUAUACGCUUGGGAGCUGUGUGAGUGACUAUUGGUAUGAAAUCGCAAAGAAAAGCAAUCCAGACAUCGUUUGGGCUUUCAUGUUUAUUUCGUGUUCUUGGCUUUGAACUUGGAUUAUGUUGUAGAGCUUCUUUUUAUCUUUCUAGAACAUCUUGAAUCAUUCCAAUCGAAGUUCGGAUGCAAGAGUUAUGAUCUUUGUACCAACGGACGCUGAACUUCACUGUUUUGGGUGGCCAUUUGCAUAGCAGUCACUUACAGCCCAAUUUCUACCUUCCUCCGUCGGUUAUUUCUCAAUUCUUAAAGAAUAAAAUUUGUAGAUCUCGUUGAUAUCUUCGAUUUUAUAGGUGGUAGGCCUCGUAACUCCUCCCGGAUCAAACGUUAUGGUCGUUUCUCUUCACAAAACCCCCGCCGAGGUGGGGCUACAAGCUGUUAAACAGAACCCUAGCCCACCGAGGCGGGCCCUUUAAGCCUUAUACCCCCCACCGGGGCGGGGGUACAUGCAAAUUUGAGUUCGAGAAGGAUUGGUUCGAUUCGAUUGACUCAAGGACUUUCAAGAGGACUUAAAGACAUAUAAAGAAACAUAUAAAAGGAGGAGAAUCAUAAGGAUUAGGGGAGAGAGAGAGAGAGAGGAUUUCAUUAGAUUUGAUUAGAGUAGAAUAGGAGAAAACACUAGUUCUUAUGAGAUUUGGAGAUUGAAGCACUUGGAAGCCAUUGGAGAUCCAGAUCAAGAGCGAGACGGAGGACGAAUUUGCCAACAACAGAUUCACUUCUUUUUCUUAAUCUUAUUCUUAUCUUUUAAUGUGUAUUCAAGUGUGGAUUCUUAGUUUUAAUUCAAUGAACUAAUUCUUUGUUUGAGAUUACAAUGGAUCUUAUUGUGUAGUUUAUUUUAAUAUGAUUCGCUAUCAAUUAUUAUGUUCUAUUGUGAGGAUUGUUUAUUGUGAUUUGGACUUAAUUGUUUAAUUGAUUGGCCAUUAAUUACCAUGAUAAUCUAUAUGAACUUGGGAGAUGAAGUUUAGAUUUAGAUCUGAUCAUAAUAGCAUGUGUUUGUGAUUUCUGCAUAGAUGGAAUUCAUUAUUCGUGUUUAGGAUAGAGAUAUACCUUUUUGCCAUAUGUAAUCUUAUAGAGAACUUGUGCUUUAAAUCCUUUUUUAUUGUAAUUUACAUAGAGAUAUAGUGGAUUAGUUAAUUAGGGUGUCUUGCUUAAUUAUAUCAAUUGUGGAUUUAAGUGAGUAUGAGUAUUAUGCAUCGAGAUGUGGUUUUAUCUGCUUUAGUGUUCUUGAUUAACAAUUCAGGAUAGAGAAUAAUUGAUGAGAAGUGUGUUAACUUAAAUAAAGCAAUAAGUGAAGUUGUGAUCUUAAAUCUCCAUAAUCUGAUUUUUAAUUAGUGGUAAUUAGAAUUAGUGUAAUUAGAUAAUUUAAUUUAUAAUCCUAAAUUUUUUGUUUAAAUAAAAUUAGUUUGAUUAAGAGUUAGUAUUUGGUAAUUUGUAUUAAUAAUUCCUCGUGGGAACGAUACUCUACUUUCACUUUAUUACUUGUUGACCACGUAUACUUGCGUGUUGUGCUUAAUUAGAUUUUACCUAACACGCGCCAAUAGGGAGAAAUCCUUAUCGGAAAGCCCCCUCUUUCCUGAGAAUGAUCUGGUUGUUAAAUAUUGUUAGUUAUAAUAUUAAUGAUGAAUAAGUUCGUGUUGAUUAAAGAUGAAAUUGAUAUUUCCAUUAUGUUGGGAUUAUUAGUGUUAGUAGAAAUCGAUAUUUAUUUCGAUAAUAAUUGAUUUCUGGAGGUUAAAUUGACCAAUCAGGUUAUUAAUCGGAUAAAUGAGCAAUUAAUUACUAUUAGUUCACAUGCAUAUAACUAUUUGUUCACAUGAAUGGAACUAUUGAUUCACAUGCAUGUACUAUUAGGGGAGGUGGUGCAAGUUUGAUAAUACUUGUAAGACUAAAUUAAAAAUGGAGGAAAAGAUGAAGGUACUAUACUAUAAUAAUUCGAGCCCCAAAACGUGCAAUUAUCGAAAUUAUGUUUUCCUAUAAAUAGAAGUUCAUUAUUCAUUCAUUCUCACCAAUUCACUAAGACUCACAAGAGCAAUUAUAGAGAGAGAGAAGCUAUAGAGAGAAAGAAGAAGAGUAUUCUGCUACUUCACUAUUAUAGUAUCCAGCCUUCUACUAAGGUAAGGGGUAUUAUUUCUUUCGUAUUUGUAAGGGAUAUUAUUUUUGUUCAAUAUCCGUAUGAAAUAAUAUUUUCUUUCAUACUCUGUAGUAUGUAAGUAAUAUUAUUUCAUUUUAGAUUCCGAAUUCUACACUCAUUUUGUUAAAGUAUUGCUUCUAUACUCCGUGAAAUUAAUAGAAUAUCCUUGAAAUUUGCACUUCAUCUAGUAUCGUUUCACAAGGAUAUUUUUUUGAACAUUCUUGUUAAAUUUUAAGCUUUUUAUGCCGGAGUACUAUUCAUGAGUACUAUUCAUUUAUACGGCACUAUUCAUAAGAGCAAUUAUAGAGAGAGAAACUAUAGAGAGAAAGAAGAAGAGUAUUCUGCUACUUCACUAUUGAAGUAUUCAGCCUUCUACUAAGAUAAGGGGUAUUAUUUCUGUCGUAUUUGUAAGGGAUAUUAUUUUUGUUCAAUAUCCGUAUGAAAUAAUAUUUUCUUCCAUACUCUGUAGUAUGUAAGUAAUAUUAUUUCAUUUUAGAUUCUGAAUUCUACACUCAUUUUGUUAAAGUAUUACUUCUAUACUCCGUGAAAUUAAUAGAAUAUCCUUGAAAUUUGCACUUCAUCUAGUAUCGUUUCACAUGGAUAUUUUUUUGAACAUUCUUGUUAAAUUUUAAGCUUUUUAUGUCGGAGUACUAUUCAUGGGUACUAUUCAUUUAUACGACACUAUUCAUACGUACAGUACUAUUCACAGAGUAAUAUUCACGGGCACUAUUCAUAAAUACAGUACUAUUCAUGGGUACUAUUCAUAAAGUACUAUUCAUAAAAUACUAUUCACAAAAUACUAUUCCCAGGGUACUAUUCACGAAGUAUUAUUCAUGGGGUACUAUUCAAAAAGUACUAUUCCUGAAGUACUAUUCACAGGGUACUAUUCAGUCAGGUACUAUUCACCCAGAGUACUAUUCAUGAUAAAAAUUGAUUUCUUUUCGGUCCAAAUCAUUUUUGAUACAAUAUUAUUCUUGAAUUUUACUCCACAAAGUUGUAUCAUGUUGACAAUUUAGAUAUUAUUAAAUUCUCGAUAAAUUAAAUUAUAAAUCUUUAAAAUUUAUCCUUGCUUUCAUUUAAUUGAAUUCUUAUAUCAGUGUCAUCAUCCUCAUGCUUAUAUUGUGAUGAAAAUCCUCUGUGGCUUACGUGCAUAGAUGGACUGUUGAUUGGUAUGAUUAUGACCAGGGAUUAUUCGGUAUAAUCAUGACCAUAAUGUUACAAAUGAUGUGGUAAAAGUCCUCAUUGGCCAGUAGUGCAUUGAUGGACAGAUGUUGGUAUAAUCAUAACCAUGCGUUCUCUUCGGGCAAGGGUGCAAAGAUGAAUUGUUGUUUGGCAUGAUCAUGACCAUUGGUGAAAACACAAAUAUCCUUGGCCCGUAGUGCAUGGAUAAUUCGUGGUCGUGAUACUAAUGAAUAUCAUUGGACCGUAGUGCAUGGAUAAUUUAGUGAUGUGGAUUAUUUAUUAAGCUGAGUCUCAGCGAUAAAAUUGAUGGUAAACUUUUAAAUCAUAGAAGAUAAUAGAUAUCAUGCUCUACUUAACUCUUCUAAUGGAUUGCGUAUUCCGCUGCAGUUGCUGAUCUAAAACUUGUUGUCUAUUGUAUUCUAUCAGUUGUUAUACUGUUGAAGGCUAAGGAUAAUUUAUUAUGCAUUAUAUUAGUCAUAAUAUUUUUUACUGGGCUAGUUGAGCUCACCCUUUUCUUUUAUUAUUCUCUUCAGGAAAUGAGAAUAUAGCUGGGACUAGUCGGAGAAUGGAUUGACGGUCCAGAUGGUUUUUUUAUUAGUUCUCACUAUUCUGUGAAAUAGUGUGAUAAUAAUUGUAAUGAGAUUGAAUUUGAGUUUGGAUAUUGUCUAGGAGACAAUAUUUGUGUUAAAAAUCUCAACUAUGUUUUGUCAUAUUUUACACGAUAGUUGUAUAAUUAAGUUGUAGUUAUAUUUUAUACCAUGUAUUUGGCGACUCAAAAUGGGUGAUGUAUACUUGUUUUGGGGGCGUCACAGUAGCCGUCUUUGGUGCCACUGUCCCAGCUGGACUUGACUUCGCUAUAGGGCAAAAUCAGACUAUAUAACCGUCCUUUCCACAACUGAAACAUACCUUGGAAGGUUGUGUACAGUUUGGACUUAUGUGUCCCUCAUCUCUGCAUCUGUAGCAUCUAACUAGAGGUAAUUCUCCUCCCCUAGAAAUUUUUGCUAGUGCUGGUGUCGAUGUCUUUCCAUCAUUGUUGAAUCUUCUCUUUUUGAAAUUUCCACUUGACUCACAUCUCCUAUUAUCUUGGCCAUGAUUACCACCUAAGUGGUUACCAUUUCUGGUAUGUUGGUUAUCACUGCUUCGAUGACUAUUGCCACUGGUAUGAUUAUUAUCUUGCUGUCGGUUGGUGUCUUUUGGUUGAGCUGACUCAUAAUCCCGCUCCAAUAACUGAGCCCUAUUCACUACAUCUGAAUACAAUUAAAGUUUAUUUGAGAUUAGAUGUUAACGAAUUUUGGGUUUUGAAACCUCUCGGAAACAUUCGCGUCAUUCGCUCCUCAUUAUCUACCAAAUGGGAUGUAAACCGGGAUAACUCCUCAAACUUAGCCUCGUAUUACAUAAUAGUCAUAUUGUUCUGCUCCAGUUUGAUGAAUUCCACCUCCUUUAUGUGACGAAUACUUUCUAGAAAGUACUUGUCAUUGAACAAUUCUUGGAACUUCUUCCAAGACAUCUUAAGUGCGGACAGAUGAGUACGUUUUAUAGAUUCCCACCAGUAAUCCGCCUCUCCGCGCAACAUAAAGGUGGCCAAAGGAACCUUUUGCUUUUCAGUGCAUCCCAAGACAUCAAAUAUCUUGGUAAUCUUCUUAAUCCAUGCCUUUUCCUUAAGUGACUUUGGCUUUCCUAAAAACUUCGACGAUCCCAACUCCUUGAAUUGCUUAGGAGUGACAAGUCGUGAGUUGUCAUUGUUUCCACCUGCAUUUUUAACAGGAGUUUCUCUUGUUUGGUGUUGCAUAAAUUGUAGAAAGCUCCUAAACAUACAAUCAUUCAUCAUUUGGUAGGUGUUGUUGUUUAUAUGAGGAUUAUUGUCUUCCUGAUGCACAUUAUCCUGGUUAUUAAUUGGCGGUGUCUUAACGGUCUCAUGUGCUCCAUUGCUUAUCUCAAAAUUUUCAGAUGUCAUUCUCAAACACUGCCACAAAACAAGGUUUAAAUAAAGAAAUUAACAUGCCACAUAUCAUCCCUAUAUUCCGACCGACCAAUUAAAUAACAAUUAAGCUUAGGUAAGACACACUAGCGAUUGUUUUACUCGUCUAUCCCCUCCUAGUUCUAAUCCUAGAUCUCCACCAGAAAUCAUAUCCCUAAGCUCUGAUACCAACUGUGAUGCCCCCAAAAUAGGUCCACACAACUCAUUCUGAGUCGCCAAAUACAUGGUACAGAAACCAAAAACAAACUUCAUUAAUACACCUAUCGUGUAAAAUACAACAACACAUAUGUUUUGAGUUUUAAUACAAAUAUUGUCUUGUAGACAAUAUCCAAACUCAAAUAAACUCCUCAUUACAAUUAUUUUUACACUAUUUUACAAAAUAGUGAGGACUACUAUAAUAACUGUCUUGAAUCAUUACUCCAUUCCCCGACUAGUCCCAGCUAUAUUCUCGCCUCCUGAGAAGAACAAUGGAAUCAAAAGGAAAAGGGUUAGCUCAACUAGCCCAGUAAAGAACAUUAUGACUAAGAUAAUGAAGAACAAAUUAUCCUUUGUCCUCAACAGGGAAAAAUCUGAUAGAAUACAAUAGAUGACAAGUUUUAGAUCAACAACUGUAACGGAAACAACAAUCCAUUAGAAGAGUCAAGUAAAGCAUGAUGUCUACUAUCUUCUUAUGAUUUUAAAAGUUCAUCAUCAAUAUUUUAUCCAUGUAACAUCAACCAAUAAUUAUUUCAAAUCAACGAAUUAUCUAUGCACUAUAGCAAAAAAUAAUCGUUUGUAUUACCAGUGGUCAUGAUCAUGCCAAACACAUGUCCAUCUUUACACUACAGGCCAAAGAUAUCAAUCAACAGUUGAUCUUUACACUAUGGGCAAAAGAUGAAUUUCAACACAAUAUAAGCAUGAGGAUGAUGAUAAUGACAUGAAGAAUCAAUCAAAUGAGAUUAUAACAUGGAUUCAAUUUCAAGAAUAAGAUUCAUAAAAGAUAACUUGGACAAAAAAUUAAAUUAAAUUAUGUUGUGAACAGUACUCAUGAAUAGUACCAUAUGAAUAAUGCCCAUAAAUAGUACCGUAUGAAUAGUAUCCAGACAUAAAAAAUUAAAAUUUAAUAAGAAAUUUCAGACCAAUAUUUCAGUGAAAUUAUAUUAGAUGAAGCGCAAUCCUUAUAGAAGCAAUACUUACCAUAGUAAGUUUAAAUUUAGGAAUAUGAGAUGAAAUAGUAUCGCUUACGAAAUAUGGAGUAUGUAAGAAAAUGAUAUCCCUUACGAGUAUGGAAAGAAAUAAUAUCAUUUACGAGUAUUGAAAAAAAUAACAUUCUUUACGAGAAAAAUAAUAUCCUUUACCUUAAUAGGAAAGUAGUUCUGAUUGGAAUAACAGAGAUUAUGUUGAGGAAAUCUUGCACUGCUAUCAACACUCAAAAUAUCCUUAUACUCACAAGAAAUACGCUCAAUAUUAUAGAGAGAGAAUUUUCUGAUUCUGGUGUGAGUUUCAUUAUUUAACUAAGCAACCUAUUUAUAGGAAAAUGCUAGCACACUACUUCUGACAAAUUUUACAUACGGUUGUUUUGCAGCACACUUGGUUUGAAAAUAAGGUUUUCAAAACCAAGUUUCUCACUUCAUCAUUUAUCACAUGUUUUUAAAAAUUAUAAUUAAAAAGGAAUCCAAAUUCAAUUUGCUCUUUUCCUCCUUAUUUUAUUCUUAUGCCAUAAAUUUAUUGUAAUAAUAUUACCAUUUAAAUUAUAAAAAUUAUACUAUUAUAUUAUCACAUUAUACUAUUAUAAUGUAAUAUUAUAAAAAUAUAUAAAUAUAUUAUCGAAAAAGAUAAUUAUGGUUUCAUAGAAAAAUAUAACAAACUUUUGACAAAUGUCUCAUUCUAAAAUUUCUCCAUUUAUAUCAAAAUUGAAGAAAUAUUUACUUACCAUAUUCAACAAUUAUUUACAAUUCUUCAAUAAUUAUUUCUAAUUAAUAUUAUAGAUUCACAAUACUGACAAUCAGAUCGUUCCCAAGAAAGAGGGGGCUUUCCGAUAAGAAUUUCUCCUUACUGGCGUGCAAUUAUAUAACCUAGCCCCUUUCCUCGACAGAACUUUCUUGACAUUAUCAAUAAUGUCAUCUAAUAAUAUUAUUUUAAUAAUAUGAGUUACUGUGUCGUGACAAUUAUUGAAUCAAUAAUAUAAAAUACUAUUUAAUUAUCAGUAUAACAAUUAUUGCAUCAAUAAUAUAAAAGACUAUGCAAUUUUACUGUAUCAAUUAUUGAAUGACUUCUUACCUAAGAAUCAAUAAUUAGAGAUACUAUGUAAUACGGUGUGCUACUGUGCAACCACACGUAUUACUGUACUUUUAUCACCGGAUAUUUCAACAGUUAACGGUAAAAGUUUUGCUAUUAUUUUUAUAAAAAGGUUAUUUCUGUCGCUUUCUAUAUCCGAUAGUUAUUCCGUUAUGUGGUCCAUCAAUGAUUGCGCUGUCGUAUGGAUAUUUUCCAAAAAAAAGAAUAUCCGCCGACCAAAAUGAAUAUUAUCCGACAAAACGAAUAUUUUAUGACCACUUGCUUACUUUGCAAAAUUUGCACAUUUCACCCAUAACUAAACCAUUAUAUCAAAUCAACACCUUAUAAUCCAAAAUAAUAAUUAGAGAAAUUAAAUCUUUAUUCAUAAAAAGUUGGGGUCUUACAUUAUGGCCCAUACAUCUUCAUAUAUGUAAAACAUAAAUUAAACAAUUAUUACUUGAAACAUAAAUAAAACAUAUCAAAAUAAAAAUACUUAUUAUAAUGUCAUAAUACAAUGAAAUAAAAAUAAUUGAUUGGUAUAAAUAUUUCCAUCAACAUACUCAAGGAAAUCAAAGACAUGAAAAUGAGUUACAUCCACUCAAUUUGAAAAGUCAAUAUAAUUCAUGUGAUCUUCAAGAUUAUUAUGAUCGUUAAAUUUUGUUUCAAUUACCUUCCCUUUUUCUUUUAUGGAGGCAUGGUACAAAUCUACCAAAUAUUUAGGAGUACAACAUGAACAUUUUCUUUUCUAUGUUGAUUGUUCCUUUCACGUCCACGACCACAACCAUAAUUUUCUCUAUAUUUAUCAAAUGAUGUUCCAUUCACUUCAAGGAAUGGAAUAGAAUCGGUCAGGCGAGAUUAGUAAUUUUUCAAAUAAAAUUCAUUAUUUUGUUUAGUCACUAGAAGACAUGAUUUAAUUUUUAGGAACAUAAUUUCUUUUAUCGCUUCAGGGAAUAUAUUGUGAACUUAUGCUCUCAAUAUUGCUACUCCAGGAGCAUAUUCGAGGCAUGAAAUGUAGUAAAUAUUUUCUCUAACAUGUCUUUAUUAAUAUUUUUUCAUGGAGAUGAUGGCGAAUAAAAAUCAUUGAUUUUGCAUAAUCCUGCAUGAAUGCAUGAUUGUCAAUCUUAAUUAUAUCUCCAAAGUUCUUUGUCUUUAUAUGAAUAUUAGUAUCAAGAGUCCAUGACAAGUACUUUUUACUAGAUAUAUAUCAAGGGCAACAAAUUCAAAUUCAUAAGAUUUGACAUCUAUAUAAAUAUAUAAUUAUAAAAAUAUACUAAAUAUACUGCAAAUAAAUUUAUAAGAAGACAAUAAAAAUAUUUAACCCUUCUCUAGUCACUUUCAAAGUGGGAGAAUUGGGGUGGAAUGAUUAUAGCAUUUAAAUAGACUCAAAAUAUUAAAAUAUAAUUUUUAAAUAUGUUUAGCAUAAUAGCAGUAUACAAGCAUAUUCAUUUGGAAUUUGCCAAACAAUAAAAGAGGUUAUUUUCAUCCAUUAUAGAAGUAGAAGGUAAAAAAAAUAUUUAACUAUAAAAAGGAAACAUUACGAUUGCAGAAAUGAUAAAGUUAUCUGAAUAAUCAUUGAUACCAACAUUGAAUAAUAUUAUUGCAUAUUAUGCAUCUACUGUAGUUUAAUUUAGGACUGAGCAAGAAACCAAAUUGGAACCGAAACCGCACCAAAAACUGCACAAACUGCACAAACCGCACCAACUAUUCCGGCGUAUGUGAUGGUUUUAGGUGGGUUGAAAAACUAAAUUUACGGUUCUGAUUUGGUUACUAGCCAAAACCGCACGCAUAAAACCGAAAUCGCACCAUAUUAGCUUAUAAUAUUUUUGACUCUUUGUAUUAUGAUUGUAAUAUUACUGUAAUAUGAUCUUUGUUAACAAUAUGUUGUAAUAUGAUUGAUUUACUCUUAGUAACAAUAUAUUGUAAUAUAGUAGAGUAGCCUGUAAAUUAUUACAGCAUAUUGUUACUAAGAAUAUUACAACAUAUUAUUACUAAGAGUAGAUUAGCAAAGAUUAUAUUUAGCUUUUGUUUACUCUUCUAUAUUCUACUCUAAUAAUUUACAACAUAUUACUCUAUUCUAUUUAGCUUUUGUUUAGACAAAACAUUAUAAGUAAGGCUGUGUGUUAUCAAAGUGAUAUUUAAUAUUGUGUGAUGCUAAAUUAUUAUUUUAAAUUAUAUAAAAUUUUGUUGUUUCAAUUGGUUUUGGAACCGAAGCCGCACUUCACGAUUCAAAACUGCACCGCACCAAUCACAAGCGGUUUCAUGUGUUAUUUUGGAUUUGUUAAACUGCAUCUAAGCGGUUUUGUAUGCGGUUUGGGCUUCAAACCACACCAAAUCAUAUCAUGUUCACCCCUAGUUUAACUUACCAAUGGAAUGUGACAAAUGAUAUUAUAGUUUCUCUGAAUAUUUGGUCCAAGUAGUUUAUUUGUAGGUUAUGUUAAUCGUUCAUAAAAUAUAGUUAGAAUUAUGUGGUGCAUACUUAUAAUUUGUAUUGAAAAUGGAUAUAUGAGAUAAAUUUAUACAUAUAUAAAUAAUUGAUAAACAUACUUUCUCCUUCAAACCAAAUAUGAUUAUUUUUAAGAUGAAGGUGAAAAGAAAUUCGUGUUGAUAGCGUGUUAUAAAAGUAUACUAAAUAUUAAGAACACUGAUGAUUAGGGGAAAAGAGAUAGUAUUCUUAUUUCAUAUAAGUUGUAGUUGUAUUUGUAUGUAUAUUACAUUCUCUUGAUAAUACUUCUAGUUAUAAGCACAUGUACAUAAAUACUUGAAAGUUUCAAAAUUUAAAGGUCAUUACAAUAAAGAAGGAUAGGAAUGUAUCUAGACAUCCACAUACUAUGUAUAAUUUUAUAACAUUUUUGACUUAAAACUGGAUUUAUUAGUAAAAAAAUAAGUCAUUCUCAAAUAAGUGAAUAGUAACAAAUGAAUUAUUGUUAUAAAAUAUUAUAAUGGAUGUCUAGAUUCAUAUAAUGGAUGUCUAGAUUCAUUCUCCCUAUCUUUGAUUGUAAUGAUUUUGAAACUCCCAUUGAGUUAUAAAACGCAUGACCUUUGAGUUUUGUAACCUCUUAGUAUUGAUGUCCUUGUACCAUAAAUAGUAGCAUUAUAAAAAGAAUGGGUUAGGGACAUAUACAAUUACAACAUAUAUGAAAUGAGAAUGCUUUUCUUCCUUAAUCAUCAUCUUUGUUCUUAAUAUUAUUAAUCUUUUAUAACACGUUAUCAGCACGAAUUGCUUCUCACCUUCGUCUUGAAGAUAAUCAUAUUUGAUUUAAAGGAGAAAGUAUAUUUAUCUAUUAUAUAUAUAUAUAUAUGGAUACGCAUUUUUUUAACAUAACAUACUGCAUGUUAUUCCAUUCAUAACUUAUUAUUGGAGUUUGUUGUUCUUGGUUCAAGCAUGCUAAUGACUGUCGUACUCAUAUUAAGUCAUUGUAUCACUCUCUGCACUUGAAAAACUUAUAUUAAUAUUCCUAUAGCUUCACAAAGAUUAAAAAAAAUAUUAUCACACCACCCUCAAAUUGUCUUGCAAUUAUACAGUGAAAUGUUUAUUCUCAACUAUUGUGCACUAUUUUUCAAUAAAAGUGUAUUGUAGUUUUGCAUGCAACAUUCAACUUAUGAGUUGCAUGGUUAUUCAACUGCUGGGAUAUAUUUCUUUUGGCAUGAUAGCAUAUUUGAUAUAUUUCUAAUGAUCUUUUGAUAUAUUUCUUUUUAGCAUGGUAGCAUAUUUGAUAUAUUUCUAAUGAUCUUUUGAUAUAUUUCUUUUUGGCAUGGUAUUAUAUUUGAUAUAUUUCUAAUGAUUUUUUUGAUAUAUUUUUGUAUGAAGUAAUAAUGACAAAUAUGCUAAUUAGUAGUGUUGGUUUGUUAUUUAGUUUUAGUGGACAAAUUUAGUUUCGUAUUUUACUGCAUUUCUAUAAAUUAUUUUAUUACAAUUAAAUCUAAACAUAUAUAAUUAUUUAAUUUGAUGGGGAAUAUGUUUAGUUAUUUAAUAUUCAAAUCUUAUAAAUUUGAAUUUUUGCCCUUGAUUUAUAUCGAGCAAGAAUGGUUUGUAAUGGAAUAUUGAUGCUGAGAUUCAUAUAAAGGCAAAAACAAUCUUGGAGAUAUAAUUAAAGUUGGCAAUCAUGCAUCCCUACAGGAUUAUGCAAAACUAAUGAUUUUUAUUCGCUAUCAUCUCCAUGAAAAAUUUAAAUAUGAGUAAAUUACAGUAAAAGACUCACUUGUCUUAUGAAAUGAUUUUAAAGGAAAGAUAUGAGAAUAAAUUUUUUUUGUAAUUCUCCCAAAAGCUUAUUAUAAUUGGUUGCACCUGAAAUUGCAAGAUUUUAAAAGUGUUGAGUGAGAACAAUUCUGCAUUUUUUUAAAAAAAUAAUCUCACUAUUAAAAUUAUGUGAAAAAAAAACAUUGAUGAAGACAUGUUAGAGAAAAUAUUUAUUAUAUUUUUUCCUCGAAUAUGAUCUUGCAGCAGCAAUAUCGGGAGCGAAAGUUCACAAAAUAUUCCCUGAAGCGAUAAAGGAAACUAUGUUCCCAGAAGUGAAAUUAUGUCUUCUAGUGACUGUACAAAAUAAUGAGUUUUUCCUGAAAAACCAACAAUCUCGCUCGACCGAUUCUAUUACAUUCCCAGAAGUGAAUGGAAUCUCAUUUGAUAAUCAUAGAGGAAAUUAUGGUUGUGAUUGUGGUAGUGGACAUGAAAAGAACAAUCAAUAUAGAAAAGGGAAUGUACCCGUCGUACUCCUUAAUAUUUGGUAGAUUUGUACCAAGACUCCAUAAAAGAAAAGGAAAUGGAAUUGAAAUAAACUUUAUUGAUCAUAAUGAUCUUGAAGAUUCCAUGAAUUAUUUUGACUUUUCAAAUGGAGUGGAUAUAACUAAUUUUGAUACUAUGGUUUCCUUGAUGAUAUGUUGAUAGAAAUGUUCAUACCAAUUAAUUAUUUUUAUUUCAUUAUAUUAUGACAUUAUAAUAAGUAAUUUUAUUAUAUGUUUUAUUUAUGUUUCAAGUAAUAAAGUUAAAUUUAUGUUUUGCAUAUAUGAAGUUGUAUGGGCCAGAAGCUCAUCAAACUUAAUUAAAGGCUCUAGAAGAGCGAUUAUUCAUCAAACAUAAUUGAAGACUCUUGAAGAGUGAUUAUUCAUCAAACUUAAUUAAAGUCUCUGGAAGAGCGAUUAUAAUGUUGUCAAAGGGCACAAAACUUUGUAUUGAUGAUUCUUUAUAUUCUUCUGAGGCAAGCAGAAAUUUGCUCAGCUUUAAGGAUAUACGUUAUAAUAGUUAUCAUAUUGGAACCAAUAUUGAAGGCAGUGAAGAAUUUCUUUAUAUUACUUCAAUAGUAUUGGGCCAAAAGCUCAUAUUAAAAAAACUGUAUAUUUUCUCUUCUGGGUUAUAUUAUACUAAAAUGAGAAUAGUUAAAACAAAUGUUGUAAUACACCAGAAGUGUGCAAUACACCAGAAGUGUUUGGAUCCAAAUGUUUUUAUGAUUUGACAUGAUCAUCUAGGAUCAAUAAUGAUGCAUUGAAUUAUUGAAAACUCCCAUGAACAUCCCUUAAAGAAGCAGAAGAUUCCUUUACCUGUUGAUUAUAUCAAAGUAAAUUAAUUACCAAACUAUUAUAUUUAAUUAUUGUUAUUUGGUGUUCAUAUUUCUAAGAAAGAAUUCAGAGCUAUAUUUUUAAGGUAUAUUUUGAGGAUUGUUAUUUUAAUAGUCUUCCCACCAUUAGGGGGAGAAAAGUCGUUGCCUGAAGCACAACGUGAGAUCAUUACCUGAAGCACGAAGGGAGAUUAAUUGGAAUGUUUCAACGUUAUUUAAUCUUGAUCCUUAUACAAAUCAAUAUGAACUAGAAGUUCAAAGGAUUAUUCAUUUGCAAUGAAAUGCAAAUCAAUUACUAGAAGUAUUCACCGAUAAUAAGAAAAUAGUGAUAUCUCACAUUCUAACUGCUAAUACUCUAGCAGGAAUUGAAGUCCCUGUAAGACAAUCAGUUAAUAUAACAGAAAAAUGAAUCAAAGUCACACCUGAAACGUGGAAGAAUGAUCGUUGUUAAAGAUAAAAUUCUCCAGGAGAAGAAAGUACAAGAAAAAUAAGUUGCAGCCUAUAUAGAGGCUAUACCUAUGAAACAGGCUACAAAAUUUAUCGAUCUAUCCAAAACUUAUGAACAAAAAUCUCCUGUAAAUAAAACUAUUGAAGAGUUAUCCCUUGAAGAGGAUGAGUUAUCCCCUGAAGAGGAUCAGGUACCUGAAAAUAACGAGAUCUCGAUACAUUUAUGUAUAUACAGGAGACGGAUAUAUUGGAUAGAAAUAAAAUUAUUGUCGACAACAUAUUUCUAUAUAAAGUUAUUCUUGAUAUUACCAGAAGUAAUGAUCAUGAAUAUGAACCAUAAAUUGUUGAUGAAUGUUCAACGUAGAAAUGUUUGGCCAAUGUGGAAAGAGGUGAUUCAAGCAUAAUUAAAUUCACUAAGUAAAUGUAAAGUUUUUGGACCUGUAGUUCGAACACCUAAAGGUGUAAUGCCUGUUGGAUACAAAUGGGUAUUUGUACAUAAACAAAAUGAGUAAAACAAAAUUAUAAGGUACAAAAUGCGACUUGUAGCAAAAAGGUUUCUCGCAAAGACCUAGUAUUAAUUAUGAAGAAACAUAUGCUCCUAUAAUGGAUACAACUACAUUCAGAUUUUUAAUUAGCUUGGUAGCAAAAGAAAAUUUUGAUAUGCGAUUAAUGGAUGAUGUUCCAUAACUGUAUAGAUCAUUAGAUAAUUAUAUCUACAUGAAAAUCCCUGAAGGAUAUAAAAUGCCUGAAACAUAUAAUUAUAUAUCUCGAAAUAUGUAUUCUAUUAAGCUACAAAGAUCAUUAUAUGGGUUAAAGCAAUCCAGAUGUAUAUUGUGGUAUAAUCGCCUGAGUGGAUAUUUUUUGAAAGAAGGAUUUGAGAAUAAUCCAACUUGUGCAUGCAUUUUAAUCAAAAGAUCAUAAUAUAGAUUUGUUAUUAUUAAUGUAUUUAUUGAUGAAAGAUCUUGCUCCAGAAGAGUCGACAAAAAUAACAAAUUUGUGUCUACAAUAUUGGUAAGACAAAAAUUUGUUCUGCCUACCUGUUACUAACAUUGCAGGAAGCGCGGAAUAUUCUUUCAGAGAUAGCCCUGGAAGACAACUCAGCUUAAUCUCGGAAAUACCACCGGAUGUUCAGUUUUAACCCCAGAAAACACACCGGGAGUAUCAUUUCCCACCUCGGAGAUAAUCCCGGGGAUAGCAGUGCAAAUACCAAAAAUUCCACCGGAGAAGGACGAUUCAUCUUGGAGAUAACCCCGAGAUGUUCAGUCUCAGUCCUGGAAACAAUACCGGGAAAGAUCAUAUCAACCUUGGAGAUAACCCCAAGGAGUGCAAUUGCAGUUCCGGAGAUAACCCCGGAGAUGCUCGUUUUAACCCAUGCAGUCAGCUUCAACCUCGGGACUCACACCGAGGCACUCAAUUCCCAAACCCGAAGAUAACCCCGGAAGGAAAGGCACAACUCAGAGACAACCCUGAGGGCAUUCAACACUUGCAACAGCCCAAUCUUAGAGAUAACCCUGAGCAACGUCUGCUUUAUCAGCCAAAACUGGAGAUAACCCCGAUGAAGGGCAAAAUUGUCAAAUUGCCACCUCAACCCCACAUGACGCCAUCUCAACAAACAACAAUCAACAUACAUUCUACACAACAAUGUCCCACAAGAACCAAGGAGUUGCAAUCCCGAGUGACUACUACGCAAGGCAGAACACCAGAUAGAAUUUGAAGCUUGAAGACAUAGGACAUGGUUCCAUCUUCCUGACUUUGUACAACCUCUAAUCCCAUGUCAUUGCAUAGCUCUCGACAACGGUAGUCCGAAACAGGUCUUAUACAUAUCAAUCGGAUGCUCGAAUUGAAGUUCUGAAAGUUUGAGCAGAUAUCACGUUGCACACGUGCACGUACUUCAAGAAAGCCUGGGGCACCCCGGGCAGCCGCAGGUGCAUCUACGUCUUCCGCAGGUACACCUGCGGCUCUCCCUCUAUAAAUAGAGGGCUUGGGGUGGCCAUAUUCAAGAGAAAAAAGGUGAGGAAACACUGUUCAAUUUGCUCUGUACACACCCUAUAUUGAGUGCUUUCUCAUUUUAAACACUUGUGAGCUCACAUAUAGCUAUUUUUUACCGGCGGGAGCCGAGUGUUCAUCCACUUAAAGGUAUAGAAGUCUUCUUUGGCAAUCCACUGUAAGCCUUCUUAUACACUUUAAAGCUUUUCUCUUCAUCUUUGCUCACACUCUUCUUCACGUUGAGAGUCAUGUUGUGUGUGUAUGCCCGAACUUCGGUCCGUGGUUUUCAUUUCUGUUUGUAUAUAUAUAUACUUAUAUAUAUAUAUAUGGACUAACAUUAUCGAGUUAUGCCAUAAUUGAGCCUGGACUCACGUCUGGAGCGUUUAUUUGCUUUUAUAUACAUAUAUAAUUAUAUAUAUGAACUGUUGUCGAACUUUGUUCAAUGAGCCUGGAUUUUAUAUCCGGUGCGUUUACUGCUUUUAUAUAUAUAUAUAUAUAUAUACAUUUCUGUCAGGCCUGGAGUUGACUUCGCGGCAGUUGAUCGCAUUUAUUGCUUUAUUUAUAUUUCUGAUCCCCCAUGGAGGUGUUUCAUGGUGGUUGAUCAUGUAUAUAUAUAUAUAUAUAUAUAUAUAUAUAUAUUUACCGCUUUUAUAUAUUUAUAUUUUCGAUCCCCCAUGGAGGUGCUUCGUAGUGGUUGAUCAUGUCUGUAUAUAUAUAUUUACAACUUUUAUAUAUCUAACUGCUUACUGUUUUCAUAUAAACCGCGACAUCAUGUGAGCCUAGGAAUCAUGUGAUCACAGAUUCAGUCUACUGAAUCUAGAUUCGGUUCCCGUGAUGGACAUUUUCAGCUGUAAGCAGCUUGUAAAUUAUUCAUAGUGUUUGACUUUCCUUAGAUGGCUUUCAUGCCCAUGAGGAGUUCGGCACUGCUAUAUAUUAUUUUCUCGAGGAUGCUUCGCAUCUCGAAAAUUAAAGCAAUCAAGCCGAACAUUUAAUAAAAUGGAAGUAUCAAAGGCCUCAAUUACUAUUGAGCACAGGGUUUAAAAAAUCGCUUUUACAAAAUCUCAUUGCUAUAUCUUGUUUAAAAUUGAAUUUUUAUACAAAUUCAAACCCUGUGUAUAUACGUGCGAAUAAGGCAUAGCACUACUUCCACAUAACAACACAUUGACCCACACACACACAUUCAUAUAAUAGUUUCUUAAAAAGUGGUGGUCACCGUGGUAACACGGAUGUCGGGGGGUGCCUAAAACCUCCCCUCCGCAUAAUCAAGCCCCCGAACCCAAAUGAAUCUCGGUUUCACAGACCCGUUUAGCAGUGUCACAUCACUGGGUCAAUGUGCAAAACUUUUCUCGGUUGCAUUGGUGCAACCAGUUAAAAACACCAACUGGAAACUCUUAUAGUCAAAUCGUCGACAUAUACAUGUCGAACCUUUUUUACUUGUUUUUUCAAACAAAUCUCACCUAACAUGAGAACACCAAAGAACAAGAACAGAAAAGGGACAAAUAAAAAUCCCGACGUCGACAGGUGGCGACUCUGCUGGGGACUCGAGUAAGAGGGCUUAAGCCGCCACUACAAGCUUUUCAACACUGUUAUAUGCUUGUGUGUGAAUGUUGUAUUUACAUUUUUGAUGAAUGUGUACGAAUGCAUUUUACUUACUGCACUGCAAUAUAUCUAUCUGUGAUAUUAGUGAUGUGCACAUGUCAUCAUUUUCAUAAACGGUGAGACGCGUUGUAUGUGAAUGUAUGUUGUGUUGUUCCUCCACCAGGAGGCUAUCCUAUCGGUGUUUAAUUACUGGACUCAUAGGAAGACUAAUUCCAACGAGGCUCAGGAAAGGCACCACCCAGAUUCGCUCCAGUUGAAAGACCGGAUUAAAUUCCAGUCAAGUAAAUUGCGAUGAUCUAGGAACCUUCAUGCCAAAAAACCGAGAGAGUAACCUAAGAUAGGUCAGUCUCUGAUAAUCCAAAUGCAGAGGAAAGUCUCUUCAUGCUUUCCAUUUUUUUUCAAUUACUUGUAAAGACAAUUACUUGUAAUUUCAUUUCAUGUUCAUCUCUAUGUAAUGGAAAAUAUGAAGAAUAUUUGCACAUGCAUAUUAAGACUUGACAUGCUAUUAAAUGACACCCAUUUUACAGGAUAAUAAUCCUAAAAUGGACACAUUAUGAUAACAUGUAAACAUUUAUACAUUCCUAAGACUAAACUACAUAAGUUUUUGUAGGGAAACAAUUGUGCCUGUUACCCGCUCAAAAUCCAAAAAGGCCACGAACCUACAGCCAAUCAUGUCUUCAUCUGACCAGUCUAAUCCUGCUCCUUUCUCUCGAGAAGAGUUUGACGGAUUAAACAAGCAAAUUAUAGAUUUGGUUGUUUUGCUUAAAGAACUACACCAAUCUACUCAGGGUUUGCGAAUACCCAUACAUACAAAAUCCUCUGCACAAGGAGGAGCACAAGGUUCAGAUUAAAUAAUUCAUGAAUUUUAGUUGGAUACGACCAACAAAAUUCCUGAAAACACCCAUCUUAAAGAAGAUCCAAACACCGGUGAUAUCAGGAAGAAAGUCCUUCAAAUGGGGGAAACCCUCUGUUUUAUCAAAGGAAUUAGAGCACACGAAAGUGUUUCCUAUGCUGACCUUUGUAUAUUCCCUAGUGCUCAUUAUCCAGAGAAGUUCAAAACUCCUGACUUUUAAAAGUAUGAUGGGCUAGGGGAUCCUUAUACACAUUUGAAGGUGUUCAUUGGAGAACUUGGGUCUUAUGCAGGAUGAGAAGCUCAGAAUGCAACUGUUCUAGAAAAGUCUGACUGGAGAAGCCCAAACGUGGUAUACCAGAUUAGACAACUCAAAGAUCCAUAGCUGGGAGGAACUAGCUUAUGCCUUCCUCACUCAGUACAGCUUUCAAUCUCAAAUGGCUCCUGACCGGUACCAGAUUACCAAGGUUAAGAAAUAGCCCACUGAGUCUUUCAGAGUUCCUUCCAUGACGGAAUCAGAAAUGGUCAUGACCUUUAUAGACAUACAAGAAGCUCCUUUCUAUGAAAGAGUCUUGGCUGGCAUUGGCAAUCCAUUUUCUGAAAUGAUCAAACAUGGAGAGAUAGCUGAGAUGGGAUUGAAGUCAGGAAAGAUUCAAGACCUAGCCACUCUUAAAGCAGUUGCCAAGCACAUCCAAUCUGGAACUUAUAGAAACAACCCCCGGAGGGUCCAUAAAAGGAAAGAGGAAGAUGUUUCCUUGAUACUACAAGGUCAACAAGACAGUCAGAAUAAGCCUAUCCAGAGGAAAAACUACUCCCCUUUGCAAGCACAGUCUUUAAACCCUCCAUUUCCUAAAGGCAGAGAAGUCAGAUGCCCCCGAGUUUUUACACCCUUAGGGGAUUCACUCGAGAAUAUCCUUACUCUUCUGAAUACUCAGAAGAAAAUUACACAUCUUCUUCCGCCAGCCAACCCGAAUGGGAAGGGUUUCAAUGCUACUCAGAAGUGUGUUUAUCAUGUCGAGGCAGUAGGAUAUGACACUCAAGGUUGCUGGGCCUUGAAACAUAAGAUCCAGGACUUAAUCGACAAUGGGGAGAUUGUUGUGACUAAACCCGACCAACCUCAUGUGCAAGACAAUCCUCUUCCUCAACCCAAAGAAGGAGGGGUCAAUAUGAAUAAUUGGAGCAGUGGACAGAGUUCCAAUUACGUUGUUGAAUCUUCCCAGACCAGCAAAGACGGUGCUGACAGAUGGGAUUAUGCGCAGUUCCAGUUUAUGAUGCAGCGAAAGAUUAAGGCUCUUUGCAAACAAGUAAAUCAGUUGGCAGAACUGGUGAUUCAUCAACACCAAGUCAUACGCCAAUUUGUCAGUUAGGAGCAUGCUAGUCUCCUUCCUUUUGUUAUGAAUAUUCCAUCCUCGCCUUCAAAAAGUGAAACACGGGAGGAUAAAGUUGCGAAAAGAGCAAGUGCAAAAUCCCAUCGGGAUUUGGCAACAAACGGGAAUUUACAUAUCUUGGCCAACUUAUGGAGGAGAUAUUUUAAAUGUUGAUCAAUGAAGGAAGAAUUACAUCCCUUCUACCUCCAAUAAAUCCCCAUUCCAAACGGUUUAAUUCUGAGGGAGUACGUCAAUAUCACUCUCACUCUCGCGGUCACAGCACAGAAGAAUGAUGGGCACUCUGCCACCUCAUUUAAAAUUUAAUUGAUAGCGCUGUCCUACAGAUGGCAGACGACGACACUUUGUUACUCGAGAGUGGGAACACAUGUCCUACAAAAUGGAAGGACGGCGUAGCAGUUAUAUCCGCUGAGGAUGAUUUGGCUGCCAGACCACUCACAAUACAAGCAAUUCAACUCAAAGAUGCUGACAAUCCUUUGAAAGUGGCUGCACCAGAGCCAAUUAACUUACCAUUCAGACCACAGUAUCCUGUUGUCAGUCUACAUCGUGAAAAGUUAAGUAAGCCGAUAAAAGAUUUUCUCGAAAAAACGUGCAGAAAUCAGACGAAAUAAAAAUAACGAAAAGUAAUGUUAUGUACUUUUCACUCGUUUAACUACGUUAGGGGAAAAUGUGAAGGAAAAUGCUUAAUGGCUAAGUAAAGUGCUUAUAAGUGAUGAGCAAGUAAACUUAAGGGCUAAGUAAACUUAAGGAGUAAGUAAACUUAAGGGCUAAGUAAACUUAAGGAGUAAGUAAACUUAAGGGCUAAGCAAACUUAAGGGCUAAGUAAAGUGGUGAGUAAGUUAACUUAGUGCUUAAGCCAUGAAUAGUAAAGAGGUUUGAGGGCGAAAUGACUAUGUUGCCCCUAGCCUUGGUUUUAUAUAAAUAAGAAGCUUAAUUCAUUUGUUUAGGAUUUUGAAAAAUCCUAUAACACUUGAGAGAGAGAGAGAGGUCGGAUGAGAAGGAGAAGAAGGAGGAAAAGCUUGCUCGUGAGUAAACUUUGUCCGACGGAAGGAGAUUAAAGAAGAAAGGUAAUCUGAAAACCUAACUUCUAGAUAAUUUUCUUUAAGUUUAUAUGUUAAAAACAUAGCUUAAUGAGAAUAAGGAGUAAAAGAUGUUAGGAAUGAUUUCAUAUGAUUGAAAUCAUGAGAAAAGAAGAAAUAAGAAAUUAGAAGUUUAGUUUAUAAAUUUCUUAAGGAAGUAUAAGAUUCGUAAUAAAUUAGAACGAUCCGAAUGAAUCAUAUGAAUGAUUCAGUGAAAUAAGUAAGGAAUGGCAUUUUAUAACAUCAAAUUCCAAAAAAAAUUAAAAUCGUAAUCAAAAUAUCGAUUAAAAAUGAAGAACGAAUGAAGAACACGAAGAACACGCGAAGAACACACGAAUAACACGAAAAACGUUGUUGAUGGACAAAUUUAAAACUAACGUAGUGUAAUUGUUAUUCAUGGACAAGUUUAAAACUAUCGCGUAUAAGUUAGAUGCUUAUUUCUUGGUUAGGAACGAUAGAAACGUUCAUGAAGAAUGGAUUAAACUUAGUUAUAACAAAGUUAUGGCGAAAAUUUUGUAAAAGACAAACGAGAACUAGAAAGUAUGUGAAUGAACUCGUAUAUAUAGGGUUUCAUAAGAAUAUAAGAGAAUGUAGAAAACGUGAGUCGUGGACUCAAGAACGAAUGAAUUUCAAGUUCGGAUGACCGAAUUACGGACGAACGAACAAAGAACAUUAAAAACGUAAAAUGAACGGAGAGCGAAGAUUAAGCCAAUUGAAUGGCAUGUUAACAGAAUCAGAAUGAAGUUUUGUCUGAGGGUAAUUGAAGUACAUAAGAUAAGGAAGAAAAUGGCUUUGGAACGACCUCGUUCCGAGUUAUAACGAAGAAGUUAUGGGAUUGCAAAGUAAGCAUCUCAAACUAGUUCAAGACUUGGAAGAAAAGCAAGAUCAGAAGGGACCCCCGUCGGGGCGGGCAUUGUUAAAGGAUAAACCCCCACUGGGGCAGGGGUAUUUAGUUCGUUAGUAGGAGUGAGGCCCGUCGGGGCGGGCAUUUCUAGCAUACAAACCCCCGCCGGGGCGGGGGUAUUGGAAUGGCCCAGAGAAGAGAUUUUAAAUGCUCAACUCUUGGGGAAGUGUAAGGGAAGAUAAUGAACAUGUUGUUCACCUAAAGUAACACUUAAUCAAGUGAUUUAAACCUUUAUUAAAGGUUGAACAAAAAGAAUAAACGGGAUUAAAAGACAGAGAAUGUGAAUGCGGGUUACGGAAUCGAUAUUCGGGGACCGUAUUCGCGAUAAAACGAACGUGAGGGAUUGCUAUGAUGGUGAUUCCUUAGACGUUGAUUGAUGAGGGUAACGAAUAACGUUUCGAUGUUAUGUUGUAGUAAUGAGAGAUAUGCGUAAAGCGUAUAGACGCUAUGAACGCAACGUUGUUGCGAUGAACGAUCGGUCUUAGCAUAAAAUGAACCGUAUGGCUUUGACAUUAAGAAAGAAUAUUGAACAUGGGGUUCAGGUGAUGAAUAAUGAAUGAAAGCGAUUAAAACCUUAGGUAAGGGUUGAAUGAGAGAUUAAGAGACAAGUAAAGUAAACAUUGAAUACGUAAACGAUUCUCGUGAAUCGUAUUUCGCAUUGAGCAAACGUUCUAAGUGUACAUUGGUUGUAUAACUUAGACAUCGACGAAGGUAGUAAGUAAGAUAUGAAGUAUUAAGAAAGCCGUAGUGAACGAUAAUAAGAUUAAUAGAAGCCAGAUGUGAGUUGGAUAGAGAAUGUUAGAAUAAAAUGUAAGCGUUGAACACUUGAACCGAUGUGAAGGUUAAGUGUACGCGAAUAUUAAACGAGCAGAACCUACACCUCGUGUAUGGUUUGACCGUAAGGUAAUGAAGAUCAAUGAUUAAACUUGUGAACGGUGAAGAAGCUAAAUUAAGGACAAGUACGUAUAACGUAAAGAAGCCGAGUUAAUGGUUAUAACUUGAAAGACGUUCUGUGUCGAAUAAAUCGGACAUUGUAAGAUAAGAAUAAGGUAACGUAAAAUGGUUAACGCUAUAAAUGCGUAGAAUUAAUAUUGAAUGAUCUUUCUGAGUAUACAAUAGACUGUAUGACUUAGACGAUAAAGAAUAAAUCCUGAGGUGGGGCAUUUAGUUGUCAGAAAGCUAUAAGGAAUAAGAAAUUGACUUAACGAACAUUAUAGUUUAAUGAUUCAGAUAAGUUACGAUGAAUUUAGGUUGUAGUACAAUUGUACCCUUUGAUGGUUGACAUAUGGGAGCUGGGCUAAAUAAUUCCUUCAGAGAGAGAAGGUAUAUACGAAACUGGCAACCGAUCUAACUAACUGUUAUGGGCAGUGUAGAUGAGACGGGAACUUAUUUGUUGGUUGUUUGUGGGAAACCACUCAGAGUACCAUAUGAACUACUAGUAGAGACGCGAUGUGUGCUGAGUCCUAGGAGAGUUAUAAGAAGAAGAUAAGAAUGUAAAUCAUCAAAGAUGAUGAACGUAUUGAGUAAGACAUCUCCGUAUGUCAUGAAGCCGUUAGUCGGUAAAGGAAGUUGUCGCAUAAACUUAAAUUAUAAAAAUGUGAACCCUAAGAAGUAAAGUUAAGUAAACCAAUGCGUAAGUUAAGUAUAUGACUAAUUGGUGUAUGUGUUAUUUCUUUAUGUGCUAUAUAGGAAUUGGAAUGAGCAGUUCAACGUAAACUAUAAGUUGUAGUUGUGCGUAAGGCAAGUUUCCUAACUUCAUUCAUAUUAUAAAUGAAUGAUAGUUUCUUAAACUUCUCAGAUGUUGAACUUGAGAAGUUCUAUCUAUAUGUGAAUGUGCGAUAUUUAUACAAGGUGGUAGAACGUAUGAGGCCUUGUGCCACAAUUUGAACACUUCGGUGUUUCUAUGAUAUGAAUUGUUCUGUGAUUGAAAUGUUCAAUAUGAGAAUGUUCUGUUUAUACAUGAACUUAAGGAUCCCGUAAAGAUCAAGCUGAUCGGUAUCCAGAAAAAGUGUCAUUCAUUAGAUGAAUGAGCGUGAAGAUCAAGCGAAGAAUUGUAAUAUAGAAUGAUAGAAUUAAACUAUAGAAUAGUUUAAUGAGUGAUUAUAUAUCCUUGGUGGCGGAUAAAAGUCACUCGUACAAGAUGUAAAGAAUAAUAUAAUUAUCAUUAUUUGUAUGAAAGAGGUUAUAAGGUUUUAGAACCUGGGAUUUGAGAAUGUAUGUUGUUAUAUUUAGCUAUAUAAUGAUGUAUGUUUGGAAGAAGAUGGGAUCGUGAUGUACAAAAUCCGGAUGUAAAAAUAGACUGGAUUUCGGGGUGUUACAUCAAAUCAAAUGUGAAAGUUCCCAUGGAGAAGAUUGAAGAGUUCCUCCGUACCAUGGGCCAUAAUGAAGCCAAUGUGGUUUUAAGCUUUAGAGAAGCUCUACAACAAAUUUUCAUACUGGACUUGGUUUUCUCUUUCGAAGAUCACAUGAAGAUCUUGCUAAGGGUCUUGGAAGAAGCCCAUUUACCGAAAUCAGUGGAUGUGGAAAAAUUCCAACAUCUGGUUGAUCACAUUUUCAACAACAAUGUGAUAUCUUUCACUGAUGAUGACAUACCCGCUGAAGGGACCUGUCAUUGCAAGCCGUUGCACAUAGCGAUUUUGUCCUCCGGAUGCAUGGUAGGAGGAGUCUUGAUAGAUGCAGGUUCAUCUCUGAAUAUCUGUCCUUAUGAUACCUUGGAGAAGAUGAAUAUCAACCCCAAGAGGAUCAAAAGCAACCAUACGAUUAUCAAAGCUUUUGAUAGGUCCAGACGAAACGCCGUUGGAGUAAUUGAAUUACCAUUGGAGAUUGGUCCACAUACAUUCAGUGUAUCCUUUCACGUGCUCAAAAUAGCCACAGGAUACAACUUGCUGUUGGGAAGACCAUGGAUUCAUAUGGCUGGAGCCGUCCCUUCCACCCUUCAUCAACAACUCAAGUACAUUAUCAACAGUAGCCUAGUCACUGUUAAUGCUGAGCCGAAAUGUCCUAAACAAGGUGACAUACCACUCAUCAGCUUCAAUUCAGAAGUUGAGUCGGUCAGUUUCCAUGCCCUGAAGGUGAGCAACACUCAUUACCAUCCCAUUGGGGCGCCACUUCUCACACCUAAGAUUUCUGCCGAAGUAAUGUCGACCACUCAAGAGAUGAUAUCAUUGGGUUAUCAACCUGGACAAGGGUUGGGCAAAGAUCAUUAGGGUAUUAGGCACGCUAUUCAAGUGCCCAGUCAAACAGGGACAGUUAGAUUAGGCUAUUCUGCUAGCUCCAGUCACAGGAAUCCUCAUAAGCAUAAAUAGAUUCCUUCAACUUCAGCCACAUGGCGAUUGUCUCCACCUGCAAAUCCUGAGGUUAUACAGUCUCCGGUAAAGGUUGCAGCCCAUGUUCCAUCAAAAAAGGUCCUGAUUCCUGAUACCAUAGUGGAAGAAGGGGAACGGAGACGUAAACAAGACAUCGCCAGUGUGAGACCCCGAAUUUUAUAAAAUAAAAGUAUUCAAUUUUUCUAUUUUGGUAAAUAGUUAAAUUGAUAAAAGUUUAAAGUUAAGGGUCAUAUUUGAAAAUUUUUUAAAGUAAGCAAGUUGUCAUAAAAUAAUCAGUGGUAAAAUACGCGUGGUUGCAUAGUAGCACACGGUAUUGAUUAUUGAUGCUUCUUAUGUGAGAAGUCACUCAAUUAUACUCAAUUAUUGCUACAAUAAUUGCUGCAUCAUAUCUCUCAUAUUAUUGAUUUGAUUAUUGUCACAGUAUCAUCUGCAUAAUAUGAUAUAUUAUUAAAUCAAUAAUUGAGACGACAAAGUUGUUCAUAUUAUUAAAUUGCAAUAUUUACAAUGUCUAGAAGUUCUGUCAAGGAGAGGUUUGGUCACCUAAUUGCGUGCCAAUAGGGAGAAAUCCUUAUNNNNNNNNNNNNNNNNNNNNNNNNNNNNNNNNNNNNNNNNNNNNNNNNNNNNNNNNNNNNNNNNNNNNNNNNNNNNNNNNNNNNNNNNNNNNNNNNNNNNNNNNNNNNNNNNNNNNNNNNNNNNNNNNNNNNNNNNNNNNNNNNNNNNNNNNNNNNNNNNNNNNNNNNNNNNNNNNNNNNNNNNNNNNNNNNNNNNNNNNNNNNNNNNNNNNNNNNNNNNNNNNNNNNNNNNNNNNNNNNNNNNNNNNNNNNNNNNNAUUACUAUUCACUCUAGUAUUAUUCACUCGGGUAUUUGGGACACUUUUCGUGUUGGGGUACUAUUCACAGGGUACUAUUCCCGAAGUACUAUUCACGGGGUACUAUUCACCCAAAAAAUAUAUUUCUUUUCUGUCCAAAUUAUUUUUGGGUACAAUAUUAUUCCAUGAGGAGAUGUGUUAAUUUUUUUCAGACCAUUGGUUGAAAUUAUAAUAGUAAAUCAAUAUGGAUCGUUGGUUUAAAGUUUUAAUAGUGAAUCAGUAUGGAUCGUUGGUUUAAAGUUUUAAUUGUGAAUCAGUAUGGACCGUUGCUUUAAGUUUUAAUAGUAAAUCAAUGUGGACCAUCCGUUUAAAAGUAAAUCAAUCUGGACCGUUCAUGAAUUAGUUAUUAUUCAGUCCAUUCUCCUAUAAAUAGAAGCUCAUUCCUUUAUUAUUUCUUACAAAUUCACUGAAACUCUAGAGAGAGAAAUUAUAGAGAGAAAUUAUAGAGAGAAGCUAUAGAGAGAAAAUCUAUAGAGAGAAAGACGAAGAGAAGUCUACUACCUCACUUUUCCAAUAUCCAGUUAUUCUAAGGUAAGGGGUAUUAUUUCUUUCGUAUUCAUGAAGAGAACUUCUGUUAUUUCAUUCUUUAUUAUUCUGUUGGAAUAACCUGUUUAUGCGAAGUACCGCAUACAUGGUGAAAUUCUUCUGUUAUUCCAUUCUUUAUCAUUCUGUUGGAAUAUCCUGUCGUUGCGUAUUAAGUCUGACCUAGUUCCAUUAAUUAUUAUUCUGUUGGAAUAACCUGUUUGUGCGGUCUAUCGCAUGCAUGGUGAUUUCUGUUGUUAUUCCAUUCUUUAUCAUUGUAAGGAUGUGGUCGAGGCACCAUGAGAGUUACAUACAUUUGUAUUAAAACUCACAGUUAACUGUGGUCGUAUUCUAUAUGAUAGUUCAACAGUUGUAUAAAUGAAGUUUGUAUUUGAUUUUUAUAGUGUGAUAUCUGGCGACUCAGAAUGGGUCGUGUGGGCCUAUUUUGGGGGCGUCACAAAUGGUAUCAGAGCUUAGGGAUAUGGUCACUGACGGAGAUAUGAGUCUAGAAGUAGGAGGGGAGAGACGAGUAAAAUACUUCACUUGCGUGUGACUUACCUAAGCUGAAAUUGUUUACUUAAUAAGUUGACAAAUUGUGGUAUGACAAUUAACCUUUGUUUUGAAGGUAUAUUUUAGAAUGAUAUCUGAAAUACAGGAGAUGAGCAAUGGGAAAAUUAUGAUACAAAGGAUAUAACUGGGAAGGUACAAUCCGAAAAGAAAGCAAGGUAUUCUCAUCUCUUCGAACUACCAGGUACGUAAAUUUCGAGGGCGAAAUUUCAUAAGAAGGGGAGAUUGUGAGACCCCGAAUUUUAUGAAAUAAAAGUAUUCAAUUUUUCUAUUUUGGUAAAUAGUUAAAUUGAUAAAAGUUUAAAGUUAAGGGUCAUAUUUGAAAAAAUUUCAAAGUAAGCAAGUUGUCAUAAAAUAAUCAGUGGUAAAAUACGCGUGGUUGCAUAGUAGCACACGGUAUUGAUUAUUGAUGCUUCUUAUGUGAGAAGUCACUCAAUUAUACUCAAUUAUUGCUACAAUAAUUGCUGCAUCAUAUCUCUCAUAUUAUUGAUUUGAUUAUUGUCAUAGUAUCAUCUGCAUAAUAUGAUAUAUUAUUAAAUCAAUAAUUGAGAUGACAAAGUUGUUCAUAUUAUUAAAUUGAAAUAUUUACAAUGUCUAGAAGUUCUGUCAAUGAGAGGUUUGGUCACCUAAUUGCGCGCCAAUAGGGAGAAAUUCUUAUUGGAAAGCCCCCUCUUUCCUGGGAACGACCUGGUUGUUACAUAUUGUGAGUUAUAAUAUUAAUGAUGAAUAAGUUCGUGUUGAUUAAAGAUGAAAUUGAUAGUUCCAUUGUGUUGGAAUUAUUAGUGUUAGUGAAAAUCGACAUUUAUUUCGAUAAUAAUUGAUGUCUGGAGGUUAUAUUAUUCGAUUGGGUAUUCGGGGCACUUUUGGUGUCAGAGUACUAUUCACGAGUUACUAUUCACAAGUUACUAUUCACCCGAUUACUAUUCACUCUAGUAUUAUUCACUCGGGUAUUUGGGACACUUUUUGUGUCGGAGUACUAUUCAUGAGUUACUAUUCACGGGUUACUAUUCAUAGGUUACUAUUCACCCAAAUUACUAUUCACUCUAGUGUUAUUCACUCGGAUAUUUGGAACACUUUUUGUGUCGAGGUACUAUUCACGGGGUACUAUUCCCAAAGUACUAUUCACGGGGUACUAUUCACCCGAAAAAUAUAUUUCUUUUCGGUCCAAAUCAUUUUUGGGUACAAUAUUAUUCCAUGAGGAGAUGUGCUAAUUUUUCAGACCGUUGGUUGAAAUUAUAAUAGUAAAUCAAUAUGGAUCGCUGGUUUAAAGUUUUAAUAGUGAAUCAGUAUGGACCGCUGGUUUAAAGUUUUAAUAGUGAAUCAGUAUGGACCGUUGCUUUAAGUUUUAAUAGUAAACCAAUAUGGACCGUCCGUUUAAAAGUAAAUCAAUCUGGACCGUUCAUGAAUUAGUUACUAUUCAGUCCAUUCUCCUAUAAAUAGAAGCUCAUUCCUUCAUUAUUUCUUACGAAUUCACUGAAACUCUAGAGAGAGAAACUAUAGAGAGAAAGAAGAAAAGUAUUCUGCUACUUCACUACUCCUAUAUCCAGUUUCUUCUAAGGUAAGGGGUAUUAUUUCUUUCGUAUUCAUGAAGAGAACUUCUGUUAUUCCAUUCUUUAUUAUUCUGUUGGAAUAACCUGUAUACGCGGGCUACCCUAUACUUGGUGAAAUUCUUCUGUUAUUCCAUUCUUUAUCAUUAUGUUGGAAUAACCUGUCUAUGCGAAGUACCGCAUACAUGGUGAAAUUCUUCUGUUAUUCCAUUCUUUAUCAUUCUGUUGGAAUAUCCUGUCGGUGCGUAUUAUGCCUGACCUGGUUCCAUUAAUUAUCAUUCUGUUGGAAUAACCUGUCUGUGCGGUCUAUCGCAUGCAUGGUGAUUUCUGUUGUUAUUCCAUUCUUUAUCAUUGUAAGGAUGUGGUCGAGGCACCAUGAGAGUUACAUACAUUUGUAUUAAAAUUUACAGUUAACUGUGGUCGUAUUCUAUACGACAGUUCAACAGUUGUAUAAAUGAAGUUUGUAUUUGAUUUUUAUAGUGUGAUAUCUGGCGACUCAGAAUGGGUCAUGUGGACCUAUUUUGGGGGCGUCACAGCCAGGAUGAUGUCAGGCAUACGCAGACGAUGAUUGCCUAGAUAUCAUGGUCAUCAUUAGGGAGAAGGAGGACGAUGUUAUCCCCUCCAUCACUGCAGUCUAUCAGGACUUUACCCUCGACAAUUGGAGCAGCACUCCAUGCAUUGGUCGACGAGGGUAAAACGGGCAGAAAUUCCAUCUACCCUGUAGAUAACUUUAACUGCUUACUUUUCUGUACAGUAUUAGCAGUUGUUUUAUCAGUACAUGCUAACACUUUUGUAUGAUUAAAUAGUUUUAUAUAUUAAGUAAAAGCAUAUUUUGUUUCAGGACUCUGAAUUUAGAUGUGCAUGUACUUGCUGAUGAGGUGCCUUUUCUCCACAAGGACUGUAACUUUGAUGAAAAGCUGGACUCAAACUUGAUGGAAAUACAAGAGGACAUUGAGAUACCUCAGGAGAUCAAGGAAUGGGUCAAAGACAAACCUAAACCUAACCUUGAUCAAACCAAAUCUUUCAAUCUCGGAACAUUAGAAAACCCUAAGUUAAUCCAGAUUGGUUCAAACCUUACUCCAAACCAAAGGAAUGACAUGGUUACGCUACUAACCCAAUUCCAAGAUGUGUUUGCAUGGUCUCACAAAGACAUGAUGGGUUUGUCCACUGACAUUGUCCUUCAUCGCCUUCCCAUUAAAGAGGGAUUCAAGCCAAUCAGGCAGAAGCUCAGGCGAUUGAAACUUGAGUGGAGUUUAAAGGUUAAAGAAUAAAUUGUGAAACAAUUUCAAGCUGGCAUCAUCAUGGUGUCCACAUAUCCUAAAUGGUUAUCAAACAUAGUCCCCGUGCCUAAACCAGGAGGAAAGGUGCAAGUUUUCAUGGAUUAUUGGGAUUUGAACAAAGCUUGCCUUAAGGAUAGCUUUCCCGUGUCAUUUAUUCACAUUUUCAUUGACAAUACUGCUCAAUACGGCAUGUACUCCUUUGCGAAUUCUUUCGCGGGGUAUCAUCAGAUUAUGGUUGCUGGGGAAAAUCGUGACAAAACUGCUUUCAUCACGCCUUGGGGAACCUUUUGUUACAGACGCUUGUCAUUCGGCCUUAUCAAUGCCAGAGAAACCUAUCAGCGAGCUAUGAUAGCUCUUUUUCAUGACUUAAUGCACAAAGAGAUAGAGAUCUAUGUGGAUGACAUCAUUGUCAAAUCCUGAAGGGAAGAAGACCACUUAAACCAUCUCAGAAAGCUUUUCAACAAGUUGCGUAAGUACAACUUGAAGUUGAAUCCAGCCAAGUGCGCCUUUGGUGUUAAAUCAGGCAAGUUGCUAGGUUUCCUAGUCAGCCACAAAGGGAUUGAGCUAGAUCCCACCAAAAUCCAGGCCAUCAAGGAAAUGCCCGUUCCUCAGACAGAGAAGGAAAUACGGGGAUUUUUGGGAAGAAUCAAUUUCAUUAGUCGGUUCAUUUCUCAACUUAUAGCAAUCUGUGAGCCCAUCUUCAAGCUAUUAAGGAAGAACUCCUCUAUGAAAUGGAAUGAUGAGUGUCAGAAAACCUUCCUUACAAUCAAAGAGCAGUUGAUUAACACUCCUAUUUUGGUACCACCCAGGGAUGAUGUUCCUCUGUUCAUAUACCUAUCCAUUAAUGACAAUGCCAUGGACUGCAUGCUGGGACAGAAAGAUGAUAGAGGCCAAGAAUGAGAUAUCUACUACCUCAGCAAAAGAUUCAGCAGUAGUGAACACAAGUACACUCUGAUUGAGAAGACUUUUUGUGCUUUAGCAUGGGCUUCCAUGAGGUUACAACAUUACCUUCAUGGUCACACAACCCAUCUCAUAUCCCACGUGGAUCCUCUCAAAUAUGUGCUCAGUAAGCCCAUACUAAAUUGUCGGCUGUCCAGAUGGCAGUUGAUUUUACAACAAUUUGACAUCGUCUACGUGACGUAAAAGUCCAUUAAAGGGCAAGGAAUUGUGGAUCAACUGGACGCCGCACCCGCAGGGGAUUACAAACCCUUAGAAACAUACUUCCUCAAUGAAGGGGUUAUGGCAAUUCAGCAACACCAUCAGUACGAUGCAUGUCGUACGUGGAAAAUGUAUUUUGAUGGAGCUAUUAACAUAGAAGGUUCUGGAGUUGGAGCAGUUCUAGUAUCCGGUACGGGGGAGCAGUUUCCCGUUGCCGUCAAAUUAUAGUUUGUCAGCACCAACAACACAGCUGAGUAUAAAGGCUGUAUCAUGGGGCUAAAACUUGCUCACUCAAUGGGAAUUAGACGGUUAACUGUCUUUGGGGAUUCAGAGUUGGUAAUCAAACAAACCAUGGGAAUCUAUCAAACCAAAGAACUACAUUUGCUGCCUUACCAUCGGCAAGUUUUAUAGAUAUCUUCGGAGUUCGAAGAAGUAAACUUCCUCCAUAUUCCUCGGAAUAGGAAUGACUUUGCGGAUGCACUAGUAACUUUGGCCUCCUUGAUCAACAUACAUGACAAGGAAAACAUGCCAAGCAUCCCAGUUACCCUACAAAAGGCUCCAGCCUAUAGUAACUAUGUUGGAGAAAUAUCAGAUGAGCUACCUCCCAUCCAACACCUUUGGUAUCAGCAUAUCAAGGAGUAUCUGCGAGAUGGAUCUACACCCGCUGAGGUGAGCCCAACUGAAAAAAGGCGGAUCCAUCGAAUGGCUAUAAAAUUCUACCUGAGCGGAGAUGCACUCUACAAAAGAGAUGUAGGAUUAGGUCUCCUUAGAUGUCUGGACAAAGACCAAGCUCAGAGGCUCAUGGAUGAAAUCCAUGGUGGAGUAUGUGGCCCACACAUGAGUGGACCCUUACUUGUUAAGAAGAUCCUCAGAAUAGGGCAUUACUGGCUUACUCUCAAGGCUGACUGUGAUGAUCACGUCAAGAGAUGCUACCAAUGCCAAAUUCAUGCGAAUGUUAUCCACACCCCUCCAAGGGAACUCCACAAUAUGAGUUCGCCUUGGCCCUUCUCAAUGUGGGGAAUGGACGUGAUAGGGCCCAUUGAGCCCAAAGCCAGUAAUGGGCAUCCGUUUAUCUUCACCAUGAUUGACUACUUCACCAAGUGGAUAGAAGCAGCCUCCUUCCCCAGGGUUACCAAAGAAGUCAUCAUUGCUUUCAUCAAAAAUAAUGUCAUUUGUCGAUAUGGACAACCAGAGGUAAUUAUGUCAGAUAAUGCUAAGAACCUCAACAACAAAAUGAUGGAGGAGCUAUGCAGUAAAUUCCACAUCAAACACCUUAACUCCGUCAUCUACCGUCUAAAGAUGAAUGGUGUUGUUGAAGCGGCUAAUGAAAACAUCAAGAAGAUCAUGCAGAAGAUGACCGCCAAUCACAAAGGAUGGCCUAACUUGUUGCCUCUGACUUUAUUAGCCUGUAGAACUUCAAUGCGUACUUCCACUGGGGCAACCCCCUACUCAUUAGCCUAUGGGAUGGAAGCAGUAUGAUAAGUUGGUUUUAUACCUACUUAUCCGGUAUCUGUUACUUGAAUUAGUUGCUUAUACUCAUAUUUCUUAGUUACUUUUCAUGCAUUUUGUGUUUAUUUUAUAGAUCUUAAGCUUGGGAACGAUGUGAGCGAUUAUUGGUAUGAAAACGCAAGGAAAAGCAAUCCGGGGAUCGUUUGGGCUUUCAUGUUCAUUUCAUGUUCUUGGCUUGGAACUUGGAUUAUGUUGUAGAGCUUUUUCUUAGCUUUUUGGAACAUCUUGAAUUAUUCCAAUCGGAGUUGGGAUGCAAGAGUUAUGACCUUUGUGCCAACAAACGUUGAACGUCACUGUUUUGGAUGUCCAUUUGCAUAUCUGUCACUUCCAACCCAAUUUCAACCUUCGUCCGUGCAUUAUUUCUCAAUUCUCAAAGAAUGAAAGUUGUAGAGUUCGUCGAGAGCUUUUAUUUGAUAGAUGGCAGGCCCCGUAACUCUUCCCAGAUCAAAAGUUAUGGUCGUUUUACCAGAGGACGCUAUAGCAAAAAAUGUUUGGCGCAGGCACGCGGAUUUCUAGUGUAUUUUAGGCGCGGCCGCGCCAAUCCCUGGAGCAAAAAAACGUGAUUUGAUACUUGAGUGCGGGCUCGCCCAACUUCAGGCCAAUUCCAGCGUGACCACGCCACUUCGGAAGUUAACUAGAGAUGACUUUUUCACUAGAUAGUGUGAUUGAAGCGUAACUUAGAGGGGGGGGGGGUUCAAUUAGGGUUUAUAUAUUAGACGUAUUAUCAGUAUGUAGAGGGGAUUCCACCCUUGUGGGGCUCAUUUUACAUUACAUAUGCUCUUUUCUUUUCUUUAAUUUCCUUAUUAUAUUAGAGUAGAUUAGAACCCUAGAAUAGCUAAGAUUUUGGGAUUUAAGCAAUUGAAGAUCCUUGAAAGUUCAGAAGUGAAACAAAAGAAGAAACUCAGAUUUGCAAUUCUUAAUCCCUAACUCUCUUUACUUCUAUUUGUAUCUUUCAAUGUAUAUUCCAUUGUGGAUCAUGGAUUCUAAUUCAACUAUGAGUUAAACUCUAUUUUGGGAUUGCAAUGGAAUCUAUUGCCUAGUUUAUUUUGACAUACUUCAUUGUUAGUCUUAUUAAUUGUUAUGAGAUUGUCUAUUAAGAUUCAUGCUUAUUUGCUUAGUUGAUUGGCUAUCAAUUAUUGUGAUAAUCCAUAUGAACUUGAAAAAUGAAGUAUGGGUUUAGAUCUGAUCUUGAUAGCUUGUGUUUGUAUGUUCUACAUGGUGAUGGAAUGUAUGAGUCAUGCUUAGGAUAGACAUAUACCGAAGCAUCACUCGUAGUCAAUUGAGAGCUUGGGCUUAAAUCCUAUUUAUUUGUAAAUUGCAUAGACAUAUAGCGGUUUAGAUAAUGUGGGUGUUCAUGUGUAUUUUAUCAAUUGAGGAUUACAUGUGAUAUGGGUAUGGUACAUCGAGAGAUGGCUAUAUUUCACUUUUGUGUUCUCGACUAACAAUCCACUACAAUUAAUUUGGCUUAACAGGAAAUGUGUCGAUUUAAAUGAUUCAAUAGGAGAAAUUGUAAUCUCGAGUCUUCAUUAUCUAGUUUUAUUCUAGGGAUAGUUAGUAUUAUUUAAUUUUUAUAGUUUUCAUCACUAUAUUAAAUCAUUCGUUUAAAUAAGAGUGAAAUGGUUAUGGGUUAGUGCUUGGUAAACUUUAUUAGUUAAUUCUCCAUGGGAACGAUACUUUACUUACUCUUUAUUACUUGUUGACCGUGUAUACUUGCACGCAUAUAUUGAUCGGUAAAACGACCAACAAGUUUUUGGCGCCGCUGCCGGGGAAUUCGCUUAAUAAAUUUUUUCCAACAUUAAUUUCAAUUAAAUUGGUCUUAAUUUAAACAUUUUUAUUUUGUUUUAAUUAUCUUCUUAUAUUUCUCUCUUUUCAGGUACCAUGGAUAACUUUGUUUAUCAAUGGCCUUAUGCAAAUAUGACUCAACCAAGGAACAUAAGAACUGAAGGACUCAAUGUAUUUCCUACAUUGUCAGCACAAAUUGCAACACUUUCGGAGAGGUUGGAUGUUCUUUCCCAACGCACUCGAGGGAUAGUAGUUACAUGUGAAUAUUGUGCUGGUGAGCAUCCGAGUUAUCAGUGCAACAUCAGUGUUGGACAAGAUCAGUUGGGGGGGUGAUUACCUCAACAACUAUGUUUAUCCCAGUUAUCAUCAAGGUUGGGGGUAUCACCCAGAUUAUGAAUGGAAUUGUAACUAUCAAGACCAAGACUGCGUUCUAAGUCCAACAUAUCCAUCGGAUUUCUCAUAUCCAUUUCCAAUGCAACAAGAAGAAAAUUCAAGGUUGAAGGAAUUCAUGUCAAAAAGCAUAGCAGGCCAUGAAGAGAUGAUGAUGAGUCAGGAGUUAUCAAGCCAAAAUCUUAACAGACAUAUGGAACAACUCAUUAACUCCUCAAUGAAUGGUCCUCAAUACAUGGAUUUCGAAAUUGAACAAGAUAAUUCAAGAUUGGAGGAUUUGUGGUUCAAAUUUGUAGCGUCAACUGAGGAGAAGAUGAUUAAGCAAGAGAGGUCAAUUCAAAAUCUUCAGAAUCAGAUGGAUCAAAUGUUCGAAGCCUUGAAUAAUCGCCCUCCAAACAAUUGGUGCUAUGACAUAGACGAUGAAACUGAUGGAGAACCAGAAGUGUACAUGCCACUGAAUGAACUGAAAGGAGUGGACAUUGAGGAGACAACUGGGGGUAUAGAAAAUGAAUAUCAUGAGCUGACUUGUAUAAUACCCCAAGUGCCUUCUUAGUUAGAGUUAAAAAAUUCGGUGAACUUUGCACACCCAUGUCCCCUUGGUAGUCACAUCUAAAGCAAGAAUUUCUGCGAUUAUGAGGCCUCUUACAAACCAUAGUGGGUAGAGGAAGAGAUAAUAGAAGAAGAAAAGCCCGUUGAAUCUUUCAUGCCUCAAUGCAAAAAUCUAUUCACAGAUGCAAUGGGAGAAGCACCUGGCGAUGCAAUAGAAAUGGAGACACCAUGUACAGGAAAUAUGCUAGGUUAUUUCAAUUCACAGACUCUCAUUAUGGGGAACCUACCUACACACAUUACAGCUCUAAUGGAUGGAGGGUUCCUAGCUUAUCGUAGAGGAAUUGGAUAGCGGUGUCAAGAAAAGAGUCCAGCUAACGGACUAUAAACCGAGCGCUAGAUGGGAGGCACCCCAUCCAAUCUUUCUCCCUCCUUGUUUAAUUCUUAUUUAUAUUUCCAUUUACUUCUUCUGCUAUGUUUAAUUCUUCAUACUUUCCAUAUUUUGUAGAUGUUUGAUAGUUGUAAGUCUUAAUAAUAGUUUCAUUGUUUCUCUUCUCAGGUUCAAUCCAAUUGCUAUAAGCAUUCAGGAUCAAAUAGAAGUAAAAAAAAAAACUGAAGCUGUCAGAGUACAGGUAGCGCGGCUGCGCCCAACUACAAGCCAAACAUAGCGCAGCCGCGCCAUAUCUCAAUCAUAGAAAACAAACAUUGCUAAAAUUUUAGAAUUUCUGACUCAAGCAUUCGGACAGUUAGAAGUCCACACUCAGUUUCCAACUUUAGAUUAUCUCAAACUUAUCCAUCGCCUGAUACAGCAUCGAAUUUUGAGGAGGCGAACGGAGAUGACAUUGCCACUUAGGGGAGUAUUCUUUCACUUUAAAUUAUAAUGAGGGCAUUGUUCGUUUUAAGUUUGGGGGUAUUGGGUUUAGUUAGUAGUUUAGAGCAUGUAGUGUAAAUAUAGAGUAAUUUCAUGUUACAUAUAGUUAAUUGCAUGUUAGUAGUUAUUAGUUUAAUUUUGCAGUAAAUUUUUUCUUUUUGUUUACUUAAUAUUUGUUUAGUUGCAUAACAUUGCGUAAUCCCAGGUUUUUAGUUAGUUUAAUUCUAAUUUGGCCAAUGAUGACAUAGAAAUUUGAUAGAUUUUUGAAUUUAGUGGAUAACAUGAGCUUAGUUAUAAUGUUAUACAUGAUUUAAUUCAUGCUUGUUGUUUAGAUGCUAUUGGUUAGCACAUAGGUGUUCAUAUCUGCUUGUUGGUUUAAGAAUAACUUGUUUGUUUAUGGAAGCAGUGCUCCCCAUAGAGGUGGAAAUGGAAUCCCUCAGAGUGUUGAUGGACGCUCAGCUGGAUGAAGACCAAUGGGUACAAGACAGAUAUCACCAAUUGUCUCUAAUAGACGAAAGGUGAAUCGCGGCUAUCUUUCAUGGUCAGUUAUAUCAACAAAGGAUCGCCAGAUCCUACAACAAAAAAGUCCGGCUACGGCAGUUUAAACAACAUGACUUGGUUUUGAAGAAGAUCAUUGACAACCAAGAUCAAUCUAAGGGAAAAUUCGCUCCAAAUUGGGAAGGCCCGUUUGUUGUCAAGGAGGUAUUGACAGGAGGCGCUCUCAAAUUACAGGAAAUGGACGACGAUGAAUUUCCACAACUCAUCAACUCGGACACCAUGAAACGGUACUAUCUCUGAGGUUACCAUCAAGCAAAUAUCCUGGUUUUGGAUCAUCAGAUCACCAGUCAUUCAGGUUUUCUAACCCUUUCUUACAUACAAAAUCUUCUUCAUGCUCUUCUGCCCCUUAGGGAAACAUACUCUUCAAGCCAGCAGCCUGGUUUCACUUUAUUUCAAACCUUUCAUACAAUUUCGGUUAUCCCACUAGGGAUUGAACCUUUCACACCUGCAGUUUGUCCUGAACAUAGGAUCAAACUUUUUCACACUUGCAGUUUGCCUGAACUUAGGAUCAUACUUUUUCACGCCUGCAGUUUGUCCCAACCAUGGGAUCAAACUUUCUUUCCCCCACAGGUUAGCCUGCAUAUGGGAUUCAAACUUUUCUUCGGCUGCAAAUCGUCCUUAGGGGCGAACUACGUUAACCUGAUCUCCAUUAUACCCGGGAGUACGUAGGCAACCAUAUUCUAUAUGGCCCGGUCAUAAUAAAAAAAAACAAAAACAUUUCUACCCUCUCUCUAAAAAAACAAAAACAACAAAAACAUUUCUGCCCUUUCUCUACAUAAACAAAAACAACAAAAACACUCCUAUAACUUUUUACAUUCAGCGUUGAACCUCUUACACUAGGUUUGAACUAUGCAGACCUGAUCUCCUCUUCAAUAGGAGUACGUAGGCAACCAUUUAUGGUUCGGUGUAACCCCCUACCAAAACACAAAUACUUGUCACACGGUACUGGGAUCAAACUUCAAUCCACCAUUUUUCAACGGCUUCAGACCAAAGGGAUGGAACUACCUGACCUCUCCUCACAAAUAGGAGAUCCGGCGACCAUCUAAGCUGUGGUUAUGCCUCGAAGAGCAACACCAAUACAUAAGAGAUGGAAUUAACUAGGCUCCUCUUAAAUAGGAGUACUGGCGACCAUCUGUGGUGCGGUCAAUCUCAGAGAGGAAAAGUCAUACUCCUCUACACAUUUCCAUACAGAAACCAGUCCCAAGACACCAAAUAGGGUAGGGAUACAUACAGAUCAAUGAUCCGUUCUGAAAGAUUAUGCGAUGUCUCAAUGUCCACACAUCAAAGAUGAAUUUAGAAUACAUCAAGAUCACAAGCCCUGAAGAAAUAGGCAAAUAUCAAGCAAGUAUCAAGGCACAACUGAAAGGGAAGUGAAUCAAAAUAUAUUUCCCUGCCAUAUAUAAUGCUAUUUGAUAUAUACAUAUGUGUUAUACAUGACAAAAUGGCUAAGCUAGUCUGUGCAGGAAAAUACAAGUCUAUCUACAGAUCUGUAUGUAUACAGAUUAUUAGAUUUAACAUAGCAUCUCUCUCCGAAGAAGGAGGUAAUGCUGCAAGCUCCUGCCCAAUGGUAUCUACACGAGCUAGCAUAUCUAAGGCCAACUACAUGGUGGCAUGAUGCUCAUCAAUGUAUGCACUUAUAUCGGCAAGAAUGCCAAUCAUAAGGGAUCUCACUAAAGCGCUAUCUAUGACAACCACAUCCUGGGUAGAUAAAGCAGCAUCCCUCUCUACAAUCAAUGCAUCUCUGGAUGAUCUGGCCUCAUCUCUCUUCAAUAAAGCGGUGUCUCUCCCAUCAAGAGUUGUCAACAUCAAGGCCCUAACCUGAUCUCUCUCAAAGGUCAUCAGAUGAAGACUCUGCUCCAGAUACUGUGCUGAAUGCGGAAUCACAGUAGCACUCAUACUGGGAGAAUCCAUCACAACUGCUAGCAACCCAGUAGUCAAAUACUCCUCGGUGGGAAUAUAAGUCUCCUCUAUAGGCUCUCCAUCGUCGGAAUCAAUCCCCUGCACUGUGGAUACUGCCAUAGUUAAUGCCAUCUCUGUCUCCAUCCAUGCGGAAUACUCAACAGAACAACCCGGGUGGUUGACAGAAAAUACAGCUAGCUCACGCUGGUCCCAACAGGCAUACAACCUGGAUCUAUCCUUUGCUGAUAACUGGCGAGAAGCUAAGCGCUGACUCAAUGCCCCCUCAAAAGGAUGGAAGUCCUAGAACUGGUCAAACUGACACAUCACGGCCAGUGGGUGGUAAGUAGUCAUUCCCCUCAAACUAGCUAGAGGGAGAUAAUUCAUUCCCGGAGCAUGAGUGAUGAAGCUGUAGGGUGAGCUGAGCCCUGUACAUGAUAAUAUAUCAAAUGGAUCUCCGAUCCUUGCCAAGAAAAUGGACCAAGAUGCAGGAUCUGUACACUCCGCAGGCUGAAAGGAGUACGACAUAGCUAUCUUAUGGGUGAAGCAAUACUCAUGCCAUCUGAAAGUUCCAAUCGGUCUCAAGUGUGACAUAAACCACACGUAAAACAUGCCCGAACUGCCUGUGAAUACCCCUGCAGAGUAAGUAUUGCAAUAUGUGGUUGACCUCAGUGUCUCUGCUAUGAUCAUCGGUAUAAUGGUGUGACCCUCCCUGAGAGCUCUCACUGCCAUGAUUACGCCAGUAUCUAGCUCAUCCAUGUACCGUGGCAUGUAUACAUACGAAAAUACGCACAGUAGCAAGACAUCUAUUCUGGCCGAGUGCCAAUGAUCCUCCGGCAUGGUGAAAUCCCUGGAGUGCCAUGUAUAACUAUCCUCGGAGCCAAAUCUGUCCAUCAAAAAAUGCUGGGAUACAAUGUGACCGGAUGUGAUCUCAUCCUGCACAACUCUGCGCCUCAGCCCGAUGAGAGUCAUAAAUUAUCGGCUCAUGUCGCCGAUGGCCAUCUGUGCGCAAGGUCUGUCCAAAGGAAGCGCCAUCAAACGUGCAUACUCCUCUAGAGUAGGAGUCAACUCAUGGAUGCCAAAUCGGAAGACCUGUCUCUCCGGUAUCCAAUGCUCCAGCAUACCCUCUAUGAAGCCUGUGGGAACCUGAAACAUCAGGAGAGUCAUAGUAUGCUGUAAUAACUGAUCUACAAUCACCCUGUCUGAAGGUGACAUACUAUCAUACCACGAUCUCAGACGAGAUGCCACCAAUACUGGUGGGGUAUGAUCAAUUUGACUAACUGUUGAAGAAGACAUAUGUACGGGCCGUGUCAUAAGACCAUCCAGGGGUUAAUGCUGAAUAUCUCUGGACAUACAUACAUAUGCAUAACAUAAUACAUGCAUGAUAAAGAAUAGAUGACAAUAUGAUAUAGGGAAUGGAAAACUGUACAUACAUUCCUAAGUAUAUCAUCAUCUAAUACAUCUCUGUAUAGCUAGAAAUACAGGGAAAUGGGGCACAAACGCCCUACAUCUAACAGAGGCCUAUCAAAAGAUAUAGUGAGAAUGGGGGAAAGCCACCCAGUGUCUAACAGAGGCCUAUCAAAAGAGAUAAUGAGAAUAUACAUCAGAAGAAGACAAUGGUGUCAAUGUCUACAUCAUCAAUCAUGUCCACCUGAUGUAACUCCUCCUGAGUCACUAGAUCUCUAUCCACAGGGAUGUCAAGCCUAUACAAGGGAGGAUCUACACCGACAAAGCCAUAUGGGUCACCUGAAGGGCCAGCACCAGAGCUGGAAGGAUCAAAAGUAUCUGCCUCUGAAAGAUCUCUGCCCAAGUGCCGGAUAAAGAAAUGUGCCAGGUCCAACUGUUGGGUCAAACUAUCAAUCUGUGUCAAAUGAGUCGGAUCUCAGACACAAGCUAGCCAAUCCAUCAUCAUCACAGAUCCAGGAACCAUAUCCCCCAUGAACUGAGUGGCGCGGGUCUGGGCUCUAAUGGUACGAGGGAACCACCAUUGCUGGAAUAUCUCCUGAGUGCAGGGACCCUCUAAUAAUGUAAAAUCGUCAACACCCAAUAAUGAGAUAUCAAUGAUGGGUGACUACGAAAUAGGCCAAUAACGCCUGGCAGGAGGCAAGAUCAUGAUACGAAUCUCUUCUGUAGUGCUCCUGAUAGCACAGUCUCCUAAAUAGAGCUCCCAUCCUCCAUCUGUGAAGAGAGGAAUCCUACGGGUGGAAAUCACGUACUCAACACCAGCCAGAUACCCAUCCUCAAAUCCAAUGCUCAAAUGCUCCCCUGAAUAGGGAAUCCAUGUGAUGACAUCAGCUAUCAACAACUCCAACUGUAGGCGGCUAUGAGUGAAACCCUCAGCUACAGAGACCAACGCCAGUAUGGAAUGAUGCCAUUGCCAUCCUCGUGGGUAGGUAUCUAAUCCUAACACACUCACUGGACGUAAGCAUGGGAGCCUCUCACAGGCCCAGAGCUGCCAACGCAAAGGCAAACAUCUGCUGUCAGUCAACACUCUUAGCCUUAACAUGGGAAAUUACAAGAGGAUACUCACUAGCAAAAAUGGGUAAAAUCCUAGCCAAGCCUCUGCCAAGUCCUGCGAACGCAUGCGCAUUCCCCUGAAGAAAUAGGCAAAGGUGUAGGAACCCCAAUCAUACUCUCUAAUAUGGUUCACGUGUCGUGUGGCACUGAUCAAAGUGAAUGACACCAUAAAAGAGUUAUCAGCUAUGAAGCAACCCCUAAUGAUCAUCAGGAACAAUCGCUGAAGAAUGUGAUCCCUGACUCUCACAUCAUUGGGUAUGGGCUCACUCAAUAGCACGCUCAUAGCAUCUACGCUUAAAGGACCUGUACGAAUAGUCCUGCCCUUGAGCGCCUCCGCCGGAACUCCUAGCAAGGAUCUGACAGUAGUCGAGGUAAUAUCCGUCGUACAAGGCACUGGUGCCCCUCCAAACCUAUGAUAAACUGCCAAUCCAUCGGUGUCAUCAUCACUUCACAGUCCAACAAAUGGAAUGACUGAGUCUGGUAAAACCAGUGCUCAGACAAUGCCCUGAUGUAACCCCAGGGACAAUGGCGGGGAAGGAUGGAAAAGAAAGCUCCAAAUCCCCAGCCAUGUAUGAUCGCUCUAUAGUCAGGAUGCAGAGCCUGGUACAUGGAGUAAAUGUUAAACCAGUUCCCCCUAGGCUGUGUAAAGCCAGGAACCUACAUCACAAAGCAGAUCAACAUCAGAAUCCUUUACUCCUCAUCAAUAGGAAAGAAGGAAGAUCAAAAUCUAGCUUUGUACCUCGUUUGCAUGCAAGUAAAUUGAGGGGUGUCGACUCAAAUCACCCAGAAGCUCUAGGUUCACCACCUGAAUACUCGGUAGGUCCCUACGGGGAACAUGUGCAGCAGGAGCGGGAGCCUCAACUGGUACAUCCUCCUCCUCGUCCUCCACAUCCGGUACAUCAACCCGGACAGGACGUAUCACUGCCUCCGCCAAACGACGAGGUUGUCUGACAUAACGGGGUCGAGGCACUUUAGAAGUGGUCCUACGGGAACUACUCGGCUGAUCCAGAUCCAUAUAUCUGGACAACAAAUCUCCAAAUCACCUCAGAAAGGGUGUGGUAAAUUCUUAUAUGGAGCUUUUCAAAAUGAAGUUUUAUGACUACAUGUAUGCAUGCAUUAUUUUAACAUUCAUCUAUAGUAGAGUUAAAAAUGCAUGACUACCCAAUGCCUAUAUUUUUGAAAAUUUUUGCCAUAGUCCCCUUUGUAAAUAGGACUAUCCACAUGCACAUAGGCAUGACUAGGUGGCCAUUCAGUAGCACACCUAUCCACAGUCAUAUACAUCCUAUAUGCAUUAAUAUAUCAAAGUAAAAAAAUCCGUAAAGGUAGCCUAAUUACCAGGAUUAUUUUGCUUUUUCACCUUUGCUCAUUUGUCCUCAAAUAGGAUAAGAAAUAGCAGAAAAAGGUGUCAAUUUGAAUAUUUCAAAAGUCAAAUUUUUUCACAUCAUUAUGUUCAGCAUGGUUUAAUACUAACAUUUACUGUGUUGAAUAUUUUUUAUCAAGUCAUUUCAGCAUGCAUAAUCGCUACUAUGUGUUUAGAUGCAUUUCAUGUAAUAAGUCAUUUUCCAACGGAUAAAAACUGGAAAAGAAGACAUGCAUAUGUUACCAGGACAGUGUAGAACACUUGUACGGUGACAAAAUCUGCAGAAAGUCGCCCGAACUCAGCAAAUCUGAAGAAAAGCUCUUAGAUUUCUUUCGCGACGCAGCUUGAAAAUGACUUAGGAAAGUAACCAGCCCAUUUAAAGACAGUUAUGGUUGGUCGCAGGUCCACCUGUGGCUGCUGCAGGUGUACCUGCGACAUCCCUAAGUGGGUCCCACCCCUCCGACUCGGUCCAGUUCGAGUUGCAAAGGAUUUUUUACAAGCUGAAAAGGCCAAAUCAGGAAUAAAAACGCUACACGAUUGGGUAGAAUAGCCUGAAAUCCUAGUUUUCACUAGCCAAACUGUGGCUUUACAUAUCACUCAUUGGUCUUUGCCCAAACAUAUGGUAGACUAUACGGAUGAUCUCAGCUAUUGCAAACUACAUUCGGCAAUACUUCACGAAGGUCCGAUGCCGUCAGUUCAGGGUCGUAGCCCUAAAACCUUUCCCCAAUAGGUUUUCAUACAUCUGUUGAUGCACACAUCAACGAAGGUCAAGCAGCCUUGACAUUAUCCCCAGCAGGGAUCUUAUCCGUUGAUGCACAUGUCAAUGAAGGUCAGGCAACCCUGACAACAUCGACUGUUGGCAUUAACUCCCACAGAGCAGUGGAAAGACCUGGCGGUACAAACCAGGGAAGAACAUCCUCAUCAGGGAGGACCGAUGAUGGAAUAUGUUAUACACAUCCUCAACAGACAAAGCUUUAUCUCCACAGAAUCUCUUGUACAUGAGAGAUGCAUCUUCAAUGUGAAGUUUGUAUCAAGGAUUAAGGACAUUGGUGAUAACCCCAACGUCAACAAUCUUAAAGAUUCCUGGUAGUUAUAAAUCAUGCAUCCAUGACAGUUCAUCAAGCUGCUUAUGUAGUGCUCCCCCGGUAGAAGCAACAUGGAGCCGACAAUCAUCCCAUCAUGUUGGAGAACAAUCCAACAAACCAUAUACAGUUGCAUCAUGUUGUUAUGCAUUUCAUCAUAAUCAUAUUGUUGUAUUUCAAGUGUCUAGUAUUCUUUAUCAUAUCCAUGUCAUUGCAUUGCAUGAAUAUGAUAAAGAGGGGCAUUUGUAGACACUCGAAAUUUUUUGCCUACCUGUUACUAACAUUGCAGGAAGCGUAUAAUCUUCUUUCAGAUAUAACCCUGAAAGACAACUUAGCUUAAUCCCGAAAAUACCACCUGAAGUUCAGUUUUAAUCCCGAAAAACACACCGGGAGUAUCAUUUCCCACCUCAGAGAUAACCUCGGGGAUAGCAAUGCAAAUACCAGAAAUUCCACCGGAGAAGGCCGAUUCAUCUUGGAGAUAACCCCGAGAUGUUCAGUCUCAGUCCCAGAAAUAACACCGGGAAAGAUCAUGUCAACCUUGGAGAUAACCCCUAGGAGUGCAGUUACAGUUCCGGAGAUAACCCCGGAGAUGCUCAUUUCAACCCAUGCAGUUUGCUUCAACCUCGGGACUCACACCGAGGCACUCAAUUCCCAAACUCGGAGAUAACCCCGGGAGGACAGGCACAC